AACAGGAGGAACAGGAACAAGCAAGUGUGGACCGAGUCAACUAAGAUGGUCACUGUAGUCCAUGGAGGCCAAGAUCACCAACUGAAGUCACCGUUUUUGACCAAGAAGGACGACCCAGGAAUGCAAAGCAUUUACUGCUCCAUAAAUGGAUACAACUUCUACAAGACAAUUUGUGACACCGGAUCAGGCGUCAACAUAAUGACCGCAGUCACCUAUCGGCUCUUGUUCGGGACCAUGCCACUAAGACCAACAUACAUUCAGCUCCAGAUGGCAGAUCAGACAUUUCGAGAAGUUCAAGGAAUAGUAUCUGAUGUCCCAGUCAAAAUAGACGAUCAUUUUGUCUACACAGACUUUCAAGUUGUUGACAUGGGAGAAGACGAGUAUGAUCCACCCAUCAUCCUUGGAAGACCGUUCCUCAGCACCGUUAAAGCCAUUAUCUACAUUGGAACCGGAGAAGUCCAUAUGCACUUGCCCCCAGAGAAGGUACGCUGUUAUUUUACUGACCCUAACUAUAUCAUUGAAGAAUCUAAGCAGGUAAGAAAACGACGCAACCGCAACCAGAGGAGGCAGAUCAUUAAGGACGGAUGGGCAGACUAUGAAGGAGAAGUUGUAAGGUCAGAAGGCGUAGAGUUUAAACAGAAUUAUCCAGAGGAGAUUGAAGCACCGAGUCAGGUGUGGAAAAUGAAGAUAACUAUACAAGAAGAGGAGGCGCUGCCGGAAGUACCGACUACGCCACCCAACGAACCUCAGGACGAUUAAGAAAUUGGAGAGUCCCGUUCGGAGGACUUAAAAACACCGAACGCCUUGCCAAGUGGUAAACUUGGUAGUUACCCUUUCCCUUUCAGUUAUUUUAAAUAGUUUACUUAGUUAAACAUGCUCAUACUGUCUUAAAAAGAAAAUAAAAAUGUGAAAAAUAGUAAGCCCCAUGUGAAUAGACGAGUGGCAUAAAACCCAUACGUACAUUCACUGUGGUGGCAUAAAAAUAAAAUAAAUAUUUUUUCUGCUUUAUAAAAUAAAAAUAUAAAAACAGGAAGUAAUAAUUAUUAAGGAGUCUCAAGAUGAUAAAGGCUAGAUAUUUAUGCUAACACUUAAUCAGUUCCACAAGCUUUGUUGUCUAUUUGAGCUCCACAGAAUUUAAGAAUCAAGAAGACUAGCAGACGGAGGACAUUCUAAUCGCUGUCAGAAUGCUGCUUUCAAAUACACCUCUGCCACCUGCUAGCUACAUCAAGAGAAAUUACGUCAAAAUUCAGCUUGGGGGAGAGCACCCCCAUUUAUCUCGAUAAGUAUUUCUAUCUUUAUAUUUAUAUUAUUUUAGAAUAUUAAUACACAUAAACUAUGGAAAAACCAAAUAAAGAUUUUAUGCUUAUAUAUAUAUAUUACUUAGUGUGUUUAAUUAAUAAAUAAAGUGGCUAUGCUAAUCUGUAUCUAAUAAAACUUAAGCAUGGAUAUGAUGAAUAGUUGCUCUGCCUAAUUUGCACAUUUUAAGUUCUCUCUCAAGUUUAGACAUAACUGUUAUAAUUUAAAGCUUGCCCUAGACCUAAACUUGUGGGAUGAAAACUUGAUCUGAAGUCUAAGUUGUUAACGGAUACGAUAUAGGAAGGUUGAGCUGCUGUUUAUCUGUUCCUAGAGAUGCUAGAAUUCUGGAGAAUUUAUCUUUGAAAAUCUUUAAAAUGUUGCAUGAUGAGUUCCUGUAUGAUGAGAGCUUAAAUUCCUACCACAGCCAUAUAUACAUGCUUGCUAGACUUUGAGCCACACAUUUACUAUUUAUUGCUUAUGAGCAUUGAGUAUGGUCAAGCUGUGUAGACCCUUAGGAGCUUGUCAUGUGGUUAAAUCAAGAUUUCACUUGCACGUUCACUCAUAUAUGCUACUUCUACUCCGGAAGUACCAUCCACAUACAUCCACUCAUUUCCAUCUCCAGAACCACCUAAAAAUAUUCUACUCCUAAUCCGGGAGAGAAUAACCAAAAAUAUUUCUGUUUUCCCCUUGUGAAAUAAAUGCUCAAGUUAUCUUGUUACUACCACUUGCUAUAUUAUCUCAAGAGAUGAAUGCUCUAAAAAAAAGAGAGAGAGAGAAGAAUAAUACGAGGAAAUAAAAAGGAGCAAGUGCUCGGAACCUCGAAAGAAAAGAAAAAGUGAGACGAGAGGUAAAAAUGGACAAGUGUCCGACAGUAGAAUUAGGGGUGCAAGAUACCCACCUGAGAGAAAAGAAAAAGAAGAGCAUCUCAUUCUCUUCCGUAGAGAAAAGAAAAAGAAGAGCAUCUCAUUCACCUGAGAGAAAAGAAGUUUCAAAAGCAAGGAAGGUAUGUAUCCCCUCAGAAGAGCAAAGUAGAAUUAGACUUUCACCACCAUUGUUUUCACCAUUGUUUUCACCAUUGUUAUCACCAUCAUCACCAUAUACCAUUCAUUCGCCACACAUGCACAUCUUGAUUAAACUUAUUGACUUGUUACUUCGGAUCCAUGGUUUGACUAUGCAAUACAAGUCUUGUAAGUAUGUAUAUUUUAUCUCCCACCUAUGAGCUCCAGAUAUUAAAGCCUUAUUAGAGUAGGAUGAGAGAGAAGGCAAUGUUACUAUGCCUCAUACCACAAAUACCACAUAUCUUGAGAGAAGGCAUAUACCAUCAAUGCCUUGGUAAGGAUCCAAAAAUACCACAAAAGAGAGACCUGAGAGAAUCAUACAAGGAAUUCUGAGUUUUAUUUGAAAAUCUGCAAAAACCCCAGAGCUAUAGCUGAUCAAGAAUAAGAGACAUGGCACUUGGCUAGACUGUUCUAUCUUUUAACCACUCAAGAUAGAAGUGACAGUUACAAGUCCCAUAGUGAAGGUAAAGUAAGUAAGUUUUAAGUCUUGACAGUUUACUCUAACUCAGAGAUGAGAUCUUAUUUAAGAGCAUGUGUACCGUCAAAUUUUUAAAGAUAUUGCAGCAACUUCUGAUCCAUAGCUGAGUCUAUCCUUGCUCAGGGACGAGCAAGAGGUAAGCUUGGGGGAGUUUGUUGACGGUCCUUAAGUAUCAAAUUUAAUUAUCAAAUAAAUAAAGAAAAGGAUCCAAAUGAAAUCAAGAUCUAGACUUAGGGUUUUAUCUGACAGAAUUCCACGAGUUUUGGUGUUUGUCUAUUUCUGCAGGGGGUUAUCAGGAAAUAUGGAAGAAAGGCCCACAUGUCAGGAUUACGUAAAGAUAUUAACGUGCUGCGCAAUUAUCUUACAUCUAGAAGACUCCAGAAGCCACGAGACCGAAGCGGAGGCGAAUCGGGGCCAGAGACAGGGCGCCCGCCCUGUCCAACUGGGCGCCCGCCCUGCCCCUAAGUCCAAUCAGGACUCUGCUUUGCGGGAAGUCUCCACCGACCUAAAGGAUGAAUCUAAACCAUACAAUCUAUGUCGGUUUGAUCCAAGGGCCCAUAUUCACUUGAAGGGACUAUAAAACCAGACCCCCUGGCCCCUGGAGGAGAGAGCCUCUCAACCCUAAUUCAUUGUUCCAUCAAGGGAGAAGAAGCCUCUGAUCAAGAUUAGAGCCACCACAUCAAUUAGAUAUCUAGAUUAGCAUGGCUACAUAGGAUUAGAACUAGAAGGAGUCAAUCUUCGAUUGGUUUCCGGAUCUGUCAGGAGGAUUCUUGGUAAUUCUCUAAUUGUGCUUCUAAUUGCUUUCUAAUUAUCUUUGUUCUUCAAUAUUAUGAAUAUGACUUUGUUCUACUUCAAUAUAUUGCUUAUGACUUUGCUCUAUUUGCUUAUAUUCAAGAUUAUAUUGUUCUUAGUUUAUCAUAGUUAUGUACUUGGCUUAGUUAGAUACGAUCUAUAUAAAUGCUUAGGAUCGUAUAGCGUUUAUCCAUCGGAUCCAUGGGUAAAUGAUAGAUAUUGUGUAGGCGUGGUGCUUAUACCGUAUUUAUCUGCGAUUGUACCCAAUAUGCCAGAUCGUGGGGUAGUUCGUUAUAGUGACAGCUUCAUUGAUUCUUAUAUAGUCCCCCUCUCGUGUAUUGGGUAAAUGAAGCCGGUUCUGCCUGUCCUAUCAACGGAGGGUGGACUAUAUAAGAAUCAACGAAGUUGUCACUAUCGCGAACUACCACACGACCCGACCAAUAGGAUACAUUUGCAGAUAAAUAACAUCUAAGCACCACACUCACAUGUGAUCUAUCACCUAACUCCCUCGCGUCAAGAGCUAAGCGCUUUGUAAACUUAUACAUAAACUCAUUAUCAAUUAGAACUAUAUCAAAUAUAGAACUAGAACAAACUAAGAACAUAAUAAUUAGAGACAUAAUGCAAUUAGAACAAUAGAAUUAGAGAAAGAUAUGGAUAAUACCAAUCUUUAUUACCGAAGAUCCUAAUCCAGAGCGUAGUGCUCUACUUCUCUAAUUGCUAUCUAAUCAAACCUCUAAACUUGAAGGAUUAGGGAGUAGCUAAUUCUAAUUCUCUAUGGGAGAGAAGCUCUAGACCCUAACUUUGAUGGCUAUCUCUGCAUAAUGAUUUCUUCUCUUCUCCUCUCUCUAGGGGGGUUUGGCCUUGGUUUUAUAGUCCCCUCAAGUGAACGUGAGCCAUUGGAUUAAACCGACAUAGAUUGUAUGAUUUAGAUUGAUCCUUUAGGUCGGUGGAGCGUAGUCCCGAAGCAGAGUCCCGAUUGGUCUCCAACCCUGGGCGGGCGCCCAAGGGGGGUGGGCGGCCACCCUGCCCCCGAGCCCGUUCGUGCUCUCGUUCAUUCCCGUGGCUUCUGGAUUCUUCUAGAUUGAGGAAAAUUGCGCGGCACGUAAUUAUCUCGUUGUAAACAUGACAUGUGGGCCUUCUCUCCAUAUUCUCUGAUAACCCCCUGUAGAAAUAGAUAAACACCAAAGCUCGUGGAAUUCUGUCAGAUAAAACCCUAAUUCUAGAUGUUUGUUUCAUAUUGAUCCUUUUUCAUGUUUAUUUGAUUAUUAAUUUUAGUACUUAAGGACCGUCAACAACCACAAAGAUGUUGAAGAAGCUCAACAAGAAUGGAGUCAACUUUGACUCCAAAAAGAAGAAGUUCUUCACAAGUAGCAAGAGGAAGCCCAUCUCCGAGAUGGAUUGCUACAAUUGUGGUGAGCUUGGCCAUCUUGCUCAUCAAUGUCCAAAGCCCAAGAAGGACAAGUACAAGAAGAAGAACAAAGAGCAAGAUGACUCAAGUGAUGAUGAGAAGAAUGACAAGAAGCAAUACAAGAAGAAAGGUGGCAAGAAGAAGGAGCACUACAAGAAGAAGAAUGGCAAGGCUUACAUUGUUGGUGAUUGGCUUACUGACAUUGAGAGCUCAAGUGGUGACUCCUCCGGCAAUGAGAGUGAUGAUGAGAAGGUUGCCGCCAUUGCCAUCGAUGCUCCAUCACCAUCAUCUUCACCACCAUCUACAUCCUCUACACACCUAUGCCUUAUGGCUAAGGGUGACCGGAAGGUACAAAGUGAGGAUGAGAGUAGUGAAAGUGAUAGUGAAUACGAAUCACCUUCUUAUGAUGAACUUGUAAAAUUGCUUAACAAGUACACAAAAGUCAUAAGAAAAACUAGAAGUGAAAAUGAAAAGCUUGAACUUGAAAAUGAUACACUUCUAGCAAAGCUUAAAUCUAGUGAUGAGCUUAGAGACCAAAAUGAGAUCAUGACCACUAAGCUCAAGGAGCUCAAACUCUCUCUAAAAGAGCUCAAAGAAAAACAUGAUAAACUUGAGAGUGUUCAUGAUGAGCUUAUCACUAGAUAUAGAGCAAUGAAAGAAGAACUAACAACUCUAAAAGCAAACUAUGACAACCUUGAUUGCUUAUGAACUUGCAAUUGAUGAAACACAUGUUGCUACUAACAAUGUUGCUAAGCUUGAUGUAGCCACAUCUUGUGAUGACUUACUUGUGGAGAGCACAAGCAAAUGUGUUGAUUGCAAGGGCAAGAAAGUGGUAGUGGCCGAGAGUUAUGAGGACACUAUCAAGCUCAAGGAUGAAAUUGUCAUGCUCAAGAAAGAGUUGCAAAACCAAGCCAAGCACAAGACCAUUGUGAUUGAGUCACUUGAUCAAGACAAGAAGCUUGCAUAUGAGAACAAGUUACUCAAGGAAGAAAAUCAAUAUCUCAAGCUUGGUUUGAUGUAUGACAAGCAAGAAGAGGAUGAGACAUUCAUCUUGGAUGAGUUAGCUAGCAACAAUGACCCAAUCAUCAAAAAGCUAACUCAAGAGAACAACAAGCUCAAGAAAGAGAAGGAACACCUAACCAUGGGGUUAGCAAAGUUCACAAAGGGGAAGGACCUUCAAAGUGAGCUUUUCAUGAACACCAUCAUGAAGAUGGACAAAAGUGGAAUUGGCUACAAGGCUAAUCAAACAAAGCUCAUCAAGUCACUAGCCACUCAUGAUCAACCAAGCAAGCUAAAGCCAAAGAGAUGCUUUGAGUGUGGUCAAGAAGGACACUUUGCUGAUGAGUGUAAGGCACCACUACCACCACCCUUGCCCAAGCAUGCAAGACCAUUUGCCUUCAAUGCUCACUACAUUGUAAGGAAAGACAAGAGUGGCAAGGUCAAGGUUAGCUUCAUGGGGCCGCCCAACAAGCAAAGGCCAAAGAAGAUUUGGGUGCCAAAGCAACUAGUAGAGAAGGUCAAGGGCCCUAAGCAAAUGUGGGUCCCUAAAUCUCAAGCUUGAUCUCUUAUGUGUAGGUGAACUACAAGACCGGCGGAUCACAUUGGGUAAUUGAUAGUGGUUGCACUCAACAUAUGACCGGAGAUCCCCAGAUGUUCACCUCUCUUGAUGAAGAUGUUGACAACCAAGAGAAGAUCACAUUUGGUGACAAUUCAAAAAGCAAGGUCAAGGGACUAGGAAAGGUUGCUAUAUCAAAUGACAACUCCAUCACCAAUGUGCUCUAUGUGCAAUCAUUGAGUUUCAACUUGCUCUCGGUUGGACAACUUUGUGAUCUUGGAUUUGAAUGCUUAUUCAAGAAGAAGGAAGUGAUUGUGACCAAGGAAGAUGAUAAUGAAGUGAUAUUCAAAGGCUUCCGACACAACAACCUAUAUGUAGUUGAUUUCUCAUCCGAUGAAGUUGAUGUCAAGACUUGCUUAUUCACGAAGACUUCACUUGGGUGGUUGUGGCAUAGAAGGUUAGCACAUGUUGGAAUGGGCACACUCAAGAAGUUGAUGAAGAAAGAAUUGAUUAGAGGCUUGAAGGAUGUGACAUUUGAGAAGGACAAGCUUUGUAGUGCAUGUCAAGCCGGCAAGCAAGUUGCAAAUACUCAUCCAACCAAGGCCUAUCUCUCUACUUCAAGAGUGCUUGAGCUACUUCACAUGGAUUUAUUUGGACCAACCACAUAUGCUAGUCUUGGAGGCAACAAAUAUUGCUUGGUCAUAGUUGAUGAUUUCUCCCGGUACACUUAGACAUUCUUCUUGCAAGACAAGGCCGAAGUUGCAUCAAUAUUCAAGAAGUUUGCAAAGAAUGCCCAAAAUCAAUUUGAUGUGAAGAUCAAGAAGAUUAGAAGUGACAAUGGCAAAGAAUUUGACAACACCAACAUUAAAGAGUAUUGUGAUGAAGUGGGAAUCAAGCAUGAGUUCUCCUCAACAUACACACCACAACAAAAUGGGGUUGUAGAAAGAAAGAACCGGACAUUGAUCACCUUGGCAAGAACAAUGCUAGAUGAGUACAACACUUCAGAGAAGAUGUGGGCCGAGGCAAUCAACACCGCAUGCUAUGCUUCAAACCGGCUCUUUCCUCACAAGUUCCUAGAGAAGACACCAUAUGAGUUGCUCAAUGGGAAGAAGCCCGAUGUCUCAUUCUUUAGAGUGUUUGGAUGCAAAUGCUACAUCUACAAGAAGUGCUAACACUUGGGAAAGUUCCAAAGAAUAUGUGACAUUGGCUACUUGGUUGGCUAUUCAUCAAAGUCCAAGGCAUAUAGGGUCUUUAACCAUGCCACAAACAUGGUUGAAGAAACAUUUGAUGUUGAAUUUGAUGAAACUAAUGGCUCCCAAGGAGCAAGUGGUAAUCUUGAUGAUGUAGGUGGUGAACCAUUGAGGGAUGCCAUGAAGAACAUGCCGGUGGGGGAUAUCAAGCCAAAAGAAGAUGAAGAUGAUGUGCAAGUCAUUGAGCCACCAUCCACCUCACAUGGUCCACAAGAUGAAGACAAGGAUGUGAGAGAUGCUCAUGAAGACACUCAAGUCACUCAUGAGCAAGCGAUGGCACAAGCACAAGAUGUUGAUGCUCCCCAACCAACCCCUCAAGUGGCACCAAGAAGAACAUCACAUCUCCUCCAAGAUCACUCUCAAGAUCUCAUCAUCGGGAGUCCAUCACGUGGUGUAACUACUCGUUCUAGACAUGCUUUAUUUAUUGAACAUCACGCUUUUGUGUCUCUUGAAGAUGAACCAAAGACUAUAGAGGAAGCUCUUCGUGAUGCGGAUUGGAUCAUGGCCAUGCAAGAGGAGUUGAACAACUUCUCUCGCAACCAAGUAUGGACACUUGAAGAGCGACCCAAAGAUGCAAGAGUGAUUGGAACAAAGUGGGUCUUCCGGAACAAGAAGGAUGAUCAAGGGAAAGUGGUGCGCAACAAGGCAAGGCUCGUGGCAAAAGGCUUUUCACAAGUGGAAGGUCUUGACUUCGGUGAAACCUUUGCACCGGUGGCAAGACUUGAAGCAAUCCGUAUCCUACUUGCAUAUGCAUCUAGUCAUGAUAUCAAGUUAUUUCAAAUGGAUGUGAAAAGUGCUUUUUUGAAUGGAUAUAUUAAUGAGCUUGUCUAUGUUGAGCAACCCCCCGGUUUUGAAGACCCUAGGUACCCCAAGCAUGUCUACCGGUUGUCUAAGGCUCUCUAUGGUCUCAAGCAAGAUCCUAGAGCUUGGUAUGAGAGGCUUAGGGACUUCCUCAUUGAGAAGGGCUUCAAGAUUGGGAAAGUUGACACAACACUCUUCACCAUGAAAAUGAAUGGGGAAAUCUUCAUUUGCCAAGUUUAUGUUGAUGAUAUUAUUUUUGGCUCUACUAAUGAAGAUUUUUGCAAGGAAUUUGGUGAUUUGAUGUCCAAGGAGUUUGAGAUGUCCAUGAUUGGUGAGCUAUCCUUCUUCCUAGGAUUUCAAGUCAAGCAAAUGAAGGAAGGAGUGCCACUUCCUAGGUAGAUCACUUGUCUCUUGGAUGUCAAAGAAACAAAAUAGUGUUGCCUUGUCAACGGCCGAGGCGGAAUACAUUGCCGCCGGUGCUUGUUGUGCACAAAGACUCUACAUGAAACAAACUUUGCUAGACUAUGAAGUAGUACUAGACAAAGUACCUUUGUUGUGUGACAACAAAAGUGCCGUAAAACUUGCAAACAACCCGGUUCAACACACCCGCACAAAACAUAUUGACAUCCGCCACUACUUCCUUAGGGAUCAUGUUGCUAAAGGUGAUAUAUCUCUAGAGAAUGUGGGAACGGAAAAUCAAUUGGCGGAUAUCUUCACAAAACCCCUAGAUGAAGCUAGGUUUUGUAUGUUAAGAAAUGAACUUAAUGUGCUUGAUCUCUCUAACUUCACUAAAAGAUAAAAGUUAUGUGUUGAAUGUUGUAAAUAACUUUUGCUUUGCAUAUCAUGCAUACUAAAACUAAAAUCCAACUUGCAUGUAGGGCUUGUCUAACAUGGUUAAGAUAACCCCCUUGUGUGUGUGAAAAAGCUUAACCCUGGAUCAAACUUGACAAGCUUUAGUUUACCUUCAAGUAUUGCAUUACAACUCAUAUCAUGUGCAUGCUUGUUAGUUGACCGUUUCUUUUCGGUUAUUCUUUGAGCAUCCGCUGUGUUCGUCCAUAGAUAGGGGGAGCAUUCAAAGCUCAUUGUGAUUCUAACCCCUAGCCUUAUGGCCACAUGAUGCUCCUUGGUGAUUUCUUGAUUUAUUUUCAUAAAAACUACUAAGCCUAUGGCUAAAUAUUUGUGAAAACUUGAGGGUUUGAGAGAAGUCACACAUACCAGUUCCAUUUGGUGUUUAUUUGUGUGUAUUUGAAGAUGGAACUUGGUUGGGUCAAAGUCGGACGUAGUGCUAAGUUGAAAAAGUGCUCAGAGGAGCACCGAACGCUGCACCGGACGCUGUCUCGGUGUGUCCGGUGCGUUGUGAGUGCCAGACUGCACUCACCGGACGUAGGAACAGUAUCCCUGUAGCGUCCGGUGAGGUGCGUCCGGUGCUCACCUGGCGUGUCCUGAAGCACCGGACGCUAAAGCCAGCAUCCGGUGGCCAUCGUCAGGUGCGGUGCCGAUUUGCAAACCUCUCUGCGCAUGAGUCCGGUGGUCACCGAACGUGUCCGGUGCCACAUUAAGAGCGUCCGGUGACCCCGCGGCGGGCGCAUAAAGCCCGUGCCCAGGGGCUUUCGUGGGCGGUUUUCUAAUCAUCUCCAAUCUUCGCCCGAGCCUCCCCCGUGCCCUAACUCCGUGGAUCCGCCGCCACCGUCGUCGUCCUUGAUUCCGGCGGCCCCUAACCUCGCCCUCGUGCCAGAUCCGCCUCCAAAUCAUCUCCUCUCCCUUCUCUUCAUGUGGAUCUCCGAAUCACGCAGAGAUUCUAGGGUUUGGGUAAGUUUCUUGAACCAUGCCCCCAAGGUGCUUGUUCUUAUGUGCAAAAGGAUUCAAUUGAGGUUUUGAUCUUGAUCUCGAUCGUCUCACCCGUGCAGCACUUUAAGGAUUUGAUUCGUGUUCUCCGAAGGAUUCUGAUCGCAUUCUUUAAUCUGGAACGCGUCUCGUCGCCCGAUCGUAAGUCGUUUACGCUCGUUCCUUACCUAAACUUGCGGUCUAUAGGGUUCUCUCAUCUCUAGCUAUUAUGAUUUCUUAUACAUACCCUAUCUUGUCUAUUCUCUGCAGCGCGUUGAUCUCCUUUGUCAGUUGGUUGUUUUUGCCAGCAGUUCGUUCAGUCGUUCUUUCUUGCGAUGGCUCGUUGCAAGAAUGUCAGUGGACCGGCAGCCAGCGCAGGGGGUUCCCCAGGGGGUGAUGGUGGAGGUGAUCCUCCCCGUCACCUGACAGCGGCAGAGAAGGGCAAGGGUAAGAAGCUAGCCACCAAGAAGCGCAAGGUCAGCGACAGAGAGGCAGAGGUGGCCGAGGCAGUUGCAACCGCAGCCGAGGCAGCUGAGAGGGGUGGACGGUCAGGUGCCUUGAGGAUAGGGGCAGAUCUCACGCCCCGUUAGAGGCGUGCAGUACUUGAGGCCGAGGCUCCACAUGGAUCACCUCUAGGCACUAUUAUGCUAGGAGGGCAGCGUGUCAGGAUCAACGUCAGAGAGCCAGCUCAGGAGGAUCCAGACACAGACACAGAGGCAGAGGCCCAGGCCGAGGGUCCAGCAGAGGGACAGGAGCAGGAGCAGCCCCUUAGGAGGUCGACCCGCACUCGUACCCAGGCCACUCCUCGGCCUGGUACGCAGGGCCAGUCUACCUCCGCUGCUCGUGCCACACCAGCCAGAGGCACUCCAGCUUCUCAUCAGAGGCCAGUCAGGAUCCAUAGGGAUCUCACCCUGGUGUCAGCCCGCGAGAUCCAGCAGCUACGCUUUGUCCCCUUUCCUACUUGGUUCCCAGCUGCUAGGGACUCCAGAGCCGGUGCCAGGUUCUACACAGUCGUCCAGGAGGACUUUUACGAGGCACUGGUUCGCUCUCAGUCUCAGUUCAGGGAGCACCGAGUUAUUGAUCUGAGAUACUCGGGAACGUGGAUGGGGCAGAUAUCUGUCAGUACUUCACUUACCUCCCCGGUCUCCCAGAGUUGCUAGCUCUCCCAGGUACUUACUGUGAGCAGUGGGUCAGAGAGUUCUACACGUCAGUGUGGGUUUCUCCGGAUCACAGCUAUAUCCACUAUGCACUGGCAGGGACCGACUACAGGGUCACAACUCAGAGGGCCAGAGAGGUGCUUGGUUUGAGAGCCUACUCCACCAGGAUUCACCAACUGUGCUACGGGAACUUCGAGCCCCCUUGUCGUCCUCAUAGUGGUGAGAUACCACCGGUUGACUUUGUGGCUCCUUGUUUCCGUCCGCCGUUUGGAGAGGGCUCCAGCAGGACAGUGGGAGACUUGACACGCCCCGCCAGGAUCCUCGACUUUGUGUUGAGGAAGACUCUUCUCCCCAGGACAGGUUACAGAGAUGGAUUCAGUCGUAUCCAGCAGUGGCUAGUUGCUCACCUCAUCUCCCAGACGCAGUUUGACUUGUGGGAUCUGAUCGUCUCAGAGAUCGAGGACACUAUCUCAGAGAGUUUUAGGGGGCGGCGUCAGUUGCCGUAUGCACAUUGGAUUACUCUUCUUAUUCUCCGUGCCAGGCCACUACCCCUGCCAGCUCACUUGCAGAGGGAGUUGACAGAGUCAGACACAGUCUUCCCCCACUACGACCCCAGGCAGAUGCUGCGAGCACACCACAACCUCCGAGCUACUCCACCUCCUCGUGCACCACGCGGACCGGUGCCCCCUCCUUCUCCUAGGGGCACUCGCAGUACAGCAGCAGUUCUAGAGACUGAGGAGCAGCAGGACAUAGCCAUUGGGGCUUUCGCAGAUGCAGAGGCAGAGGGAGAGUUUGACUUCGCCUCAGACAGCUCAGAUGAUGACUAUCAGCCGCCAGUAUCAGACCUCCCUCCUAGAGCACACGACCACGAGGCAGGGGGCUCUUCUAGUGCUUCAGACAUAGCUUUGCUUGCUAUCUUAGAGGGUAUGAGGGCAGAUCAGCACCGUGCAGCUGAGGAGCAGGCAAGGAGAGAUAGGGACUAGGCUGCCAUCAAUGCAGCCGUGCAGGCUAGGCAGGAUGAGCUCCAGCGACAAUUUCUCACCUUUCAGGAGCAGCAGCUUGCGUUCAAGGCCCAGCAGACAGCGAUGAUGGCCGCUAUCAUGCCCGCCUCUUGCGUUCUAGGCCCAGCAGACAGCGAUGAUGGCCGCUAUCAUGGCCGCCUUAGGGAUUCAGAUUCCACAGAUUUAGCUUCCAGGCACCUCGACUGUCAGGCCACCCACUCCAGCGCCUCCGACUCAGAGUCAGUCACAGCAGCCUCUCCAGCUACCCGCUCAGAGUCAGCCGUUCUCAACGCCUCAGCACUGUUGACGGUCCUUAAGUAUCAAAUUUAAUUAUCAAAUAAAUAAAGAAAAGGAUCCAAAUGAAAUCAACAUCUAGACUUAGGGUUUUAUCUGAUAGAAUUCCACGAGUUUUGGUGUUUGUCUAUUUCUGCAGGGGGUUAUCAGGAAAUAAGGAAGAAAGGCCCACAUGUCGGGAUUACGUAAAGAUAUUAACGUGCUGCGCAAUUAUCUUACAUCUAGAAGACUCCAGAAGCCACGAGACCGAAGCGGAGGCAAAACAGGACCAGAGGCAGGGCGCCCGCCCUCCUGCCCUGGGCGCCCGCCCCCUCUAGGAGUCCAAUCAGGACUCUGCUUCGCGGGAGAUUUCCACCGACCUAAAGGAUGAAUCUAAACCAUACAAUCUAUGUCGGUUUGAUCCAAUGGCCCAUAUUCACUUGAAGGGACUAUAAAACCAGACCCCCUGGCCCCUGGAGGAGAGAGCCUCUCAACCCUAAUUCAUUGUUCCAUCAAGGGAGAAGAAGCCUCUGAUCAAGAUUAGAGCCACCACAUCAAUUAGAUAUCUAGAUUAGCAUAGCUACAUAGGAUUAGAACUAGAAGGAGUCAAUCUUCGAUUGGUUUCCGGAUCUGUCAAGAGGAUUCUUGGUAAUUCUCUAAUUGUGCUUCUAAUUACUUUCUAAUUAUCUUUGUUCUUCAAUAUUAUGAAUAUGACUUUGUUCUACUUCAAUAUAUUGCUUAUGACUUUGCUCUACUUGCUUAUAUUCAAGAUUAUAUUGUUCUUAGUUUAUCAUAGUUAUGUACUUGGCUUAGUUAGAUUAGAUCUAUAUACAUGCUUAGGAUCGUAUAGCGUUUAUUCAUCGGAUCCAUGGGUAAAUGAUAGAUAUUGUGUAGGCGUGGUGCUUAUACCGUAUUUAUCUGCGAUUGUACCCAAUAUGCCAGAUCGUGGGGUGGUUCGUGAUAGUGACAGCUUCAUUGAUUCUUAUAUAGUCCCCCUCUCGUGUAUUGGGCUGGCAGAGCAACAUUAUUACAGGGGAGUGAUUGCUAUGUUUCUCAUAUUCCUUGCUAAUAUCACUAUGCAUGGGCGUAGUCUUGUCUCACAAUGAUUGCUAAGUAUGCUUGCACUAACUAUGAUAAUGCUAGACUAUAUAGUUGAGAAUAACUUAGGGAAUAUUCUUGUAGUUCGUUCUAAUACCAUGCUAAUGACUUUCUAGAGUAUCUAAUUGAGGUGCUUAUCUGUCGGUGUUUUCCCCACGGGGGGUCACACCAACGAGUGAAUUUGUAUGCGUGCUCCCUUUCCCAGAUGGUGAUGCAAGAAGACACAGAGAUUUAUCCUGGUUCGGGCAAGAGAAGGCCCUACGUCUAGCGGGGGGAGAGAGUUUGUAUUAUCUUGCACCUAAGUGCUUGUACAGGGGCGAAUACAAGCGUGGUAUAGAGUGUGGAGUUCUACUACGAAUGAGCGUUGUGUGUGUGUAAUAUUGCGUGGUGUUGUCUCUCCUGUUCUAUUCCUGAGUCCCUCCUUUUAUAGUUCCAAGGAGAGACCUAGGGUACAUGUAUAGGCGUCAGAAUAGGAGUCGAUAGCAGCAUGGAGCGCUGACCUACUCGAGGCUUCCGUACCGGCAUGGCCUCGAGCCGUCCCGUCUUGAUAGCCUGGUGAUGAUUACGCGUGCCCCUGCAUUCUGCUCUGCGCGCCGUCUUGUGUUGGUUCAACGGUCGCACGCUCGUACGGCAUGGCGGCAGAUCCGGCGGGGUGGUUGCGGUGUUGUCAGUCGACGUCCAACUCGUCCCCAGGAAGGAAUCCCGUUCGGUCGAGGGUCGGACGCCGUGUAACGUGGUGAUGUCCGGAGCGCUGACCUUGAAUGUCUCGAGGGGGUCCCGAUUAGACGUCCCAUCCUUGUUUCCCGCAUCCUGAUAUGCCCUGGGUCGUUCGACGGGAAGGCUGCAAAAAGGUCGAUGGGACGGAUGCCUGUUCCCUAUCACGCCUCCCAUGACCUGUGUGUUAGGUGGGGAAGCGUCAGACACAUUUAAUGCCCCGACUCGCGUGCGCGCGUCAGGCGGCGGGCGGCGUCCUUGCGCUCGACGCCUCCCGGUUCGCGUGAGCCUGUUCCGUAUUCGACGGUAACCAGCGCUCGACGCCUGACCGAUUCGCUCGACGCUAUUUUCGUCUUCGAGGUUGCGGUCGUCGAUGGCAGCGCACGCGUAAGACUAGAGCGUCGAAUUGAGGGCCUCGACCUGCGUACGGGCAAUCUCGUAAUGCGCAUCGGUGAGGGUACCCCUUACUGAUACCCUCGACAGUAGCCCCCGAGCCUCCAUUUGAGCGCUUGCGCUCGAGUGGAGGCUUUGUUUUGCGAUCGAAUUUUCAUGGGGGCGCGCGAGCGACCCCGCGGGGGUAGCCCCCGAGCCCUCGGAGGAGUUUUUGACUCCUUCGAGGGCUAUGCUGUCUAAUUCGCAGAAGCGCUUUCGACACCAGUGGUGGAAGGUUCUGACUGGCUCAUUUUUUUUUGGGGUUUCGACGUACUCUCGAUAGAGAGAGCGUCUUCCACCCCAUAUUGAGUUUCUAGCGGGUAAUCCAAGUGAGAACCUGUGCCCCUUUCGAGGGGGUCAGCUGUAGCCCGGAGGCGUUCUCAUAAAGCGGGAUCGACGUGGUCGGGGAUACCAGUCUCAUUCGAUAGAGUCCGGCGGCUCGAUGCCUCCCGUCGGGGGGAUUCCUCUCGACUGUCUCGACCCUACCUUGGAUAUUGCCAGCGAGUCCUCGAGGCGGGCCUCGAUCUUCGACCGCUCGCUGGGGAUCCCUGACUCUGGCGCUCGAGAUCGGCUGUCGAACCCUUUCGGCGGGCCAGCCAUCGACCUCUCGAGACUCUCGCGGGUACACCCCUUGGCUUUCUAGGGAAGGAAGUGGCCGUGCCGGUUCGCCUUUCUGCCCGUUGGGCGCGCCUUUUCAGGUGGGUGACGUUACGACACUGCGUCGGCGUGGAAUUCGGAGCGCCCCGCCUGUGUGGGGAAAGAGACGGUUAGGUGGCGCAUUUAAGGGAGAGAGUUACCUUAUUUCUUGGAUCUGUCCGUUGGCGGAUCGUGGCUUAUAAAUACGCCGCGGCGGACGCCGUUCUUUCUUCCACCUCCCAUCUUCACUCUUGCCUUAGCCUUCUUGCCGUCUUAGCUCUCUCGCCGUCUCACGCGCACACGCCUCCUCUAGCAGUAGCGGAUCCACCGUCCCUCCAGCCGAGAUGCCUGUAAGACUCGUCGCCGCCGACGACUGGCGCCCGUCGUCGAUGACGGAGCGCCGGUUGUUAGAUCUUGAGAAAGAGGGACUGCUGUGCCGCCGUAUCUCGCUAUCGUCACCAGUGUGGAUCGUGCCGCCGGCGAGUCACAGGGAGCCCCAGCCGCCCGAGCGCUACGUGGUGUCGUUCGCCAAGUUCCACCGCCACGGCCUGGGCGCGCCCCCGAGCCGCUUCAUGCGGGCCCUCUGCUUCCACUAUGGGGUGGAGCUCCAACACUUCUCCCCGAACGCCAUCACCAUCGCGGCGGUCUUCGCCGCCGUGUGUGAGGGCUACUUGGGGAUGAUGCCGCACUGGGAGCUGAGGCUCCACCUCUACAGGGGCGAGCUUUUCCACGCCCCCACCGGAACCACGGGCGUAAGGAAGCCCGUACAGGAGGGAUGCCUCAAUCUUGUGCAGAAGACGGGGAAGACGGACAGGCCGCGGGAGUACAUCCCGGUAGGGUUAUCGACCAACCACGCCGGCUGGGACUCCCAGUGGUUUUACCUGCGGAAUGACGACAACCUCCUGCCUUCCUACUCGGGCCGUCUGAUCAUGGAGCGUCCAGCGGACUGGACAUACGGCGUCGUCCAAGCUCAUCAACCUCGGCUCGACCCCCUCCUUGACGCCCUGAAGAAGCUUCGCCAGGAGGGUUUGACCGCCACUCUCGUCCUCUCGGCCGUCCAUCACCGGAGAGUUCUCCCAUUGAUGUCUCGACCGUUGAGGAUGGACGAGAUGGGCCCUGGCUUCUCAUCUCAGGACCUCGAGGCGUGCCGGAUGUCCAACGAGGCUCCGACGGAUGACGAAGUCGCGGCCUGAGUCAGGGCUGCAAUUGCCGGUGAUUUUCAGUCGGAGCAUGUUAACGGCUUCCCCAUGAGGCCGGAUGCAGGCUCGAUCGAUCUGGUACGCUUUCUUCUCGUGCACAGCCUCGAUUCUAGGUUUCCUUUCUUCCCCCCUUUUUUUUCUAAGUCUGUCUUUGUUUUGGCAGGGAUGGAUUGAUGUCCGGUCCUCGAGGCCUCCGGUAAAGGAGGACGAGGUCGAUCGCGACAAACGGCGCCAGUCUGCCGAAAAGCUAAAGUCCGCCAAGGACUCUGCAAAGAAGGGGGAGAAGAAGAAGAACCUCGACCACCAAGCAUUAGAGGCGCCUCGAGCCAAAUCCAGGCAGAGGGGGGAGCCUGAGGAAGAAUCCCCCAACGACGACGAUGAUGAUGACGAGGACAGCGACGACUCUGAGGGGAUGGCGUCGCACCUUGACCGAAUCCUCGAGGGUCUGCCUCGAGGCGACGUCGACGCCCCCCGAACAGAGAAUCCCAAGGAGGGUCCGAGCGGAUCUCACUGCUCUCGGGCCGACACCCCUCCUGCGCCCAAGGUUGGUCAAGUUGCGCCGCGACCUCCCCCGGCGCCCAGGGAGAGCGGUCAUGCUAGGCCCCAGGCGACGGGGCCACUGACUCGCGGUCGCGCCGCGGCCUCCGAGAAAGGAGAGGCCGGCCGUAGGAGCGCCAGUCCCGGCGCCCGCUGUUGGGUAUUCUUAACAUCAUUACUAAAAGUAGACUAAGUUCUCUAAAUCUAGUAACGGUGCCAAAAAUGCCAAACCUAUCCCUUACACCACUUAAGCCAAGUUGUCAUCCCCAGCAUGAUAUAAGAGACGCGGUAUUGAAAUAUGCAAUUGCUCUUCUAAAUAAAUAAUGAAUGGGAUCUGCAAGCGCACAGAUUAAUACCGAUGUAGCAUUUUAACCGGGAAGUAUUCCAGGUAUCGUUAUUUAUAUUUUUACCACUGGGAAGGGAUUAGAAAUCAUCACUAAUGAUUACAGAAUAGAAUAUGAGAUUGAGCAUCUAUCAUUGCAUGUAUAAUUGAGAACAUUAUAUCUAACUCAUCAUACAGGGAUAAGUGUCACAUAAAAGAUAUAGGAAAUAAUAAUAGUGACAAGGAUAACUAAUCUGAUCUAGCCACAUAAUAAAUAUGAUAAGCACCCCAAUUAGAUACUCUAGAAAGUCAUUAGCAUGGUAUUAGAACGAACUACAAGAAUAUUUCCUAAGUUAUUCUUAACUAUAUAGUCUAGCAUAUCAUAGUUAGUGCAAGCAUACUUAGCAAUCAUUGUGAGACAAGACUACGCCCAUGCAUAGUGAUAUUAGCAAGGAAUAUGAGAAACAUAGCAAUCACUCCCCUGUAAUAAUGUUGCUCUGCCAGCCCAAUACACGAGAGGGGGACUAUAUAAGAAUCAAUGAAGCUGUCACUAUCACGAACCACCCCACGAUCUGGCAUAUUGGGUACAAUCGCAGAUAAAUACGGUAUAAGCACCACGCCUACACAAUAUCUAUCAUUUACCCAUGGAUCCGAUGGAUAAACGCUAUACGAUCCUAAGCAUGUAUAUAGAUCAUAUCUAACUAAGCCAAGUACAUAACUAUGAUAAACUAAGAACAAUAUAAUCUUGAAUAUGAGCAAAUAGAGCAAAGUCAUAACCAAUAUAUUGAAGUAGAACAAAGUCACAUUCAUAAUAUUGAAGAACAAAGAUAAUUAGAAAGUAAUUAGAAACACAAUUAGAGAAUUACCAAGAAUCCUCCUGACAGAUCCGGAAACCAAUCGACGAUUGACUCCUUCUAGUUCUAAUCCUAUGUAGCUAUGCUAAUCUAGAUAUCUAAUUGAUGUUGUGGCUCUAAUCUUGAUCAGAGGCUUCUUCUCCCUUGAUGGAACAAUGAAUUAGGGUUGAGAGGCUCUCUCCUCCAGGGGCCAGGGGGUCUGGUUUUAUAGUCCCUUCAAGUGAAUAUGGGCCCUUGGAUCAAACCGACAUAGAUUGUAUGGUUUAGAUUCAUCCUUUAGGUCGGUGGAGACUUCCCACAAAGCAGAGUCCUGAUUGGACUUGGACAGGGGGCGGGCGCCCAGUAGGACAGGGCGGGCACCCUGCCUCUGGCCCCGUUUCGCCUCCGCUUCGGUCUCGUGGCUUCUGGAGUCUUCUAGAUGUAAGAUAAUUGCGCAGCACGUUAAUAUCUUUACGUAAUCCUGACAUGUGGGCCUUUCUUUCAUAUUUCCUGAGAACCCCCUGCAGAAAUAGACAAACACCAAAACUCGUGGAAUUCUGUCAGAUAAAACCCUAAGUCUAGAUCUUGAUUUCAUUUGGAUCCUUUUCUUUAUUUAUUUGAUAAUUAAAUUUGAUACUUAAGGACCGUCAACAAACUCCCCCAAGCUUACCUCUUGCUCGUCCCUGAGCAAGGAUAGACUCAGCUAUGGAUCAGAAGUUGCUGCAAUAUUUUUUUAAAAAUUGGCGGUACACAUGCUUUUAAAUAAGAUCUCAUCUCUGAGUUAGAGUAAACUGUCAAGACUUAAAACUUACUUACUUUACCUCCACCAUGGGACUUGUAACUGUCACUUCUGUCUUGAGUGGUUAAAAGAUAGAACAGUCUAGCCAAGUGCCAUGUCUCUUAUUCUUGAUCAGCUAUAGCUCUGGGAUUCUUGCAGAUUUUCAAAUAAAACUCAGAGAUUCCUUGUAUGAUUCUCUCAGGUCUCUCUUUUGUGGUAUUUUUGGAUCCUUACCAAGGCAUUGAUGGUAUAUGCCUUCUCUCAAGAUAUGUGGUAUUUGUGGUAUGAGGCAUAGUGACAUUGCCUUCUCUCUCAUCCUACUCUAAUAAGGCUUUAAUAUCUCGAGCUCAUAGGUGGGAGAUAAAAUAUACAUACUUACAAGACAUUUAUUGCAUAGUCAAACCAUGGAUCCAAAGUAACAAGUCAAUAAGCCAAAUCAAGAUGUGCAUGUGUGGCGAAUGAAUGGUAUAUGGUGAUGAUGGUGAUAACAAUGGUGAAAACAAUGGUGGUGGAAGUCUAAUUCUACUUUGCUCUUUUGAGGGGAUACAUACCUUCCUUGCUUUUGAAACUUUAUGAGGAGAAUGAGAUGCUCUUCUUUUUCUUUUCUCUCAGGUGGGUAUCUUGCACCCCUAAUUCUACUGUCGGACACUUGUCCAUUUUUACCUCUCGUCUCACUUUUUCUUUUCUUUCGAGGUUCCGAGCACUUGCUCCUUUUUAUUUCCUCGUAUUAUUUUCUCUUUUUUUUAGAGCACUCAUCUCUUGAGAUAAUAUAGCAAGUGGUAGUAACAAGAUAUCUUGAGCAUUUAUUUUACAAGGGGAAAACAGAAAAUAUUUUUGGUUAUUCUCUCCCGGAUUAGGAGUAGAAUAUUUUUGGGUGAUUCUGGAGAUGGAAUGGGUGGAUAUAUGUGGAUGGUACUUCCGGAAUAGAAGUAGCAUAUAUGAGUGAACGUGUAAGUGAAAUCUUGAUUUAACCACAUGACAAGCUCCUAAGGGUCUACACAGCUUGACCACACUCAAUGCUCAUAAGCAGUAAAUAAUAAAUGUGUGGCUCAAAGUCUAGCAAGCAUGUAUAUAUGGCUGUGGUAGGAAUUUUAAGCUCUCAUCAUACAGGAACUCAUCAUGCAACAUUUUAAAGAUUUUCAAAGAUAAAAUUCUCCAGGAUUCUAGCAUCUCUAGGAACAGAUAAACAGCAGCUCAACCUUCCCAUAUCGUAUCCGUUAACAACUUAGACUUCAGAUCAAGUUUUUAUCCCACAAGUUUAGGUCUAGAGCAAGCUUUAAAUUAUAACAGUUAUAUCUAAACUUGAGAGAGAACUUAAAAUUUGCAAAUUAGGCAGAGCAACUAUUUAUCAUAUCCAUGCUUAAGUUUUAUUUAGAUACAGAUUAGCAUAGCCACUUUAUUUAUUUAUUAAACACACUAAGCAAAAGACAUAUAUAAGCAUAAAAUCUUUAUUUGGUUUUUCCAUAGUUAUGUAUUUUAAUAUUCUAAAAUAAUAUAAGUAUAAAGAUAGAUAAAAAUACUUAUCGGAAUAAAUGGGGGUGCUCUCCCCCAAGCUGAAUUUUGACGUAAUUUCUCUUGAUGUAACUAGCAGGUGGCAGAGGUGUACUUGAAAGUCAGCAGCAUUCUGACAGCGAUUAGAAUGUCCUCCGUCUGCUAGUCUUCUUGAAUUCUGUGGAGCUCAAAUAGACAACAAAGCUUGUGGAACUAAUUAAGUGUUAGCAUAAAUAUAUAGCCUUCAUCAUCUUGAGACUCCUUAAUAAUUAUUACUCCCUGUUUUUAUAUUUUUAUUUUAUAAAGCAGAAAAAUAUUUAUUUUAUUUUUAUGCCACCACAGUGAAUGUAUGUAUGGGUUUUAUGCCACUCGUAUACUCACAUGGGGCUUACUGUUUUUCAUAUUUUUAUUUUCUUUUUAGGAUACCAUGAACAUGUUUAACUAAAUAAACUAUUUGAAGUAACUGAAAGAAAGGAUAACUACCAAGUUUACCUCUUGGCAAGGCGUUCAGUGUUUUUAAGUCCUCCGAACGGGACUCUCCAAUUUCUUAAUCGUCCUGAGGUUCGUUGGGUGGCGUAGUCGGUAUUUCCGGCAGCGCCUCCUCUUAUUGUAUAGUUAUCUUCAUUUUCCAUACCUGACUCGGUGCUUCAAUCUCCUCUGGAUAAUUCUGUUUAAACUCUACGUCUUCUGACCUUACAACUUCUCCUUCAUAGUCUGCCCAUCCGUCCUUGAUGAUCUGCCUUCUCUGGUUGCGGUUGCGUCUCUUUCUGACCUGCUUAGAUUCUUCAACGAUAUAGUCAGGGUCAGUAAAAUAACGGCGUACCUUCUCUGAGGGGAAGUGCAUAUGGACUUCUCCGGUUCCAAUGUAGAUAAUUGCUUUAACGGUGCUGAGGAACGGCCUUCCAAGGAUGAUGGGUGGAUCAUACUCGUCUUCUCCCAUGUCAACAACUUGAAAGUCUGUGUAGACAAAGUGAUCGUCUAUUUUGACUGGAACAUCAGAUACUAUUCCUUGAACUUCUCGAAAUGUCUGAUCUGCCAUCUGGAGCUGAAUGUAUGUUGGUCUUAGUGGCAUGGUCCCGAACAAGAGCCGAUAGGUGACUGCGGCCAUUAUGUUGACGCCUGAUCCGGUGUCGCAAAUCGUCUUGUAGAAGUUAUAUCCAUUUAUGGAGCAGUAAAUGCUUGGCAUUCCUGGGUCGUCCUUCUUGGUCAAAAACGGUGACUUCAGUUGGUGAUCUUGGCCUCCAUGGACUACAGUGACCAUCUUAGCUGACUCGGUCCACACUUGCUUGUUCCUGUUCCUCCUGUUGGUCCUCUUCCUUGAUUCACGUCUGGAUUGAUUUGGAAUUUGUGUAGUCUUGUUCUUGAAGAAAAAUGUCUCCUUCUUCCCUUUGAUGUAGAAACUGAUCUUAGCAGCACUGGCGUAGAUGAUAGCUCCCGUGGUGUUCAAGAAUGGCCUCCCUAAGAUGAUAGGUGCUCUCUCAUCAUUUCCGGUCUCUACCACUACGAAGUCUGCUAGUGCAUACAAGGUACCAACUCGGACACAAAGGUUCCUCACUAUUCCUUUUGGAAAAGUUAUCGUCUGAUCUGCAAACUGCAAACACAUGGUUGUCUCUAAUAAAGGAUAUGUAAAGAAUUUUUCAUAGAGUACCCUAGGUAUAAUGUUGACGCUAGAGCCAAAGUCACAGAGUGCUUCUGGGAAGUCCACCAUGCCGAUGGAGAACGGGAUGACGGGGCGUCCUGGAUCGCCUCUCUUGACCGGCAGACGGUCAGUAGAAAAUUUAGUGACGGGGUUACUCCAAUUACCUGCAUCAAACAUGUCUACAAGAUUUGCAGAUUCUAAUCCUUCCGGUUGUGAUGGUAUACCGGGGUUAGUAGUAGGAACAGCAGCAGCUAUUUGAUUUAACUGAGAUUCAAUCAUCUUAUUAAAGCUAAUUUGAUUCUUGAUGGCAGUAGAAAAAUUAUCCAUUCAAUUAUUUAUAUUUUCUAGUAUUUUAUCAUUAGAUGCCAAUUUCUUAGAUAGAUUAUCCAUUAGCUUGCCUUGAUUAGACACUAACUCUCUCAAAGGUGGAAAAUUAUUAUUGUUGUAAGAAUUGUUACCUUGAUAAUUACCUGAGUAGUUAGGCCUCUGUUGAUUCCAACCUUGAUUUUGUUGAGGACGGUUGUAGUAGUAGUUGUUGUUGUUGAUGUAGUUCACAUCCUCAAGUAUCUCAGGGCAGUGGUUGCCUGAGUGUCCAGUGUCUCCACACUCCUCACAAGUCAUGUGAGAGUCGUAGAUGUGCAUAACUUCUUUCUUGUCUCCAGCUCUAUCAUCGAGCUUCUUCAUGAGCAGGUCUAGCUUUGCAGACAGCAUGUCUACCUCCUUCAGCUGAUGCAUACCUCCACCUCUCUUGCGUGUCGGGGUCCUCUCUUCAUUCCAGCUUUGGUUGGACGCCAUCUUCUCCACAAGAGCUGUGGCUUGUGGUAUAGUAUGUGAUAAGAAUGCUCCUCCAGCUGCAGCAUCCAUGGUCUCUCGGGCACUGUUGCUGAGCCCAUGAUAAAACGUUUGCAUCAAUAGCCAACUCUCCAUUCCAUGAUGGGGACAUUCUAGGAUGUAGUCUUGAAAGCGCUCCCAUGCUUCUGGAACAGAUUCAUCAUUUUGUUGCUGAAAACUUGUAAUCUUCCCACGGAGAGCAUUGGUCUUGCCCAUGGGAAAGAACUUAGCCAGGAAGUUUGUUGAGCAGAGUGCCCACGUAGUAUUCGUCUCCUUUGUAGCAUAGAACCACUGCUUCACUCUUCCUAACAGUGAGAAUGGGAAGAGGCGAAGUAGUAUAGCGUCUUUAUAAACUCCUGCUAUGGUGAAUGUGUUGCAAAUCUCAGGAAGUGUUGUAAAUGAGCACUAGCAUCUUCGUGUGCCUUCCCACAGAACUGGUUGGAUUGCACCAUGUUGAUAAGUCCAGGCUUGAGCUCAAAGUUGCCAUCGAUCUCUACAGCAGGUCCAGUGCGGAUGUUGUCCGUAGUGGGAGCUAAGAACUCGCGGAUUGAUUUGUUCGCCAUGGCUUCGAACUCUGAAGACAAGUUCCGGUGAUCUUCUUGAUUGGAUGAAGCUUCUUGCUGAAGUGUUGAUGAUUUCUUUAGCUUGGCUCUCGUCUUCUUGAAUAAUGCUUCAGGAUUGUCAACAAAAUUCCCUGGAAGAUGUCUUCUAUUCAUACAUUCCCCUGCAUAAGAUAAAAUAGAAAAAUAUCGGGGUAAAACUGUAUGAGAGAAUAGAUAAGCUCAAUCAUAUUAGUGAUGCGAAUGAUUACUCUAAAUCUUUUAUUCUAUUCCUGAUUAGUAAUCAACCUUCCCCGGCAACGGCGCCAAAAAUGCUUGUUGGGUAUUCUUAACAUCAUUACUAAAAGUAGACUAAGUUCUCUAAAUCUAGUAACGGUGCCAAAAAUGCCAAACCUAUCCCUUACACCACUGAAGCCAAGUUGUCAUCCCCAGCAUGAUAUAAGAGACGCGGUAUUGAAAUAUGCAAUUGCUCUUCUAAAUAAAUAAUGAAUGGGAUCUGCAAGCGCACAGAUUAAUACCGAUGUAGCAUUUUAACCGGGAAGUAUUCCAGGUAUCGUUAUUUAUAUUUUUACCACUGGGAAGGGAUUAGAAAUCAUCACUAAUGAUUACAGAAUAGAAUAUGAGAUUGAGCAUCUAUCAUUGCAUGUAUAAUUGAGAACAUUAUAUCUAACUCAUCAUACAGGGAUAAGUGUCACAUAAAAGAUAUAGGAAAUAAUAAUAGUGACAAGGAUAACUAAUCUGAUCUAGCCACAUAAUAAAUAUGAUAAGCACCUCAAUUAGAUACUCUAGAAAGUCAUUAGCAUGGUAUUAGAACGAACUACAAGAAUAUUCCCUAAGUUAUUCUUAACUAUAUAGUCUAGCAUAUCAUAGUUAGUGCAAGCAUACUUAGCAAUCAUUGUGAGACAAGACUACACGCCCAUGCAUAGUGAUAUUAGCAAGGAAUAUGAGAAACAUAGCAAUCACUCCCCUGUAAUAAUGUCGCUCUGCCAGCCCAAUACACGAGAGGGGGACUAUAUAAGAAUCAAUGAAGCUGUCACUAUCACGAACCACCCCACGAUCUGGCAUAUUGGGUACAAUCGCAGAUAAAUACGGUAUAAGCACCACGCCUACACAAUAUCUAUCAUUUACCCAUGGAUCCGAUGGAUAAACGCUAUACGAUCCUAAGCAUGUAUAUAGAUCAUAUCUAACUAAGCCAAGUACAUAACUAUGAUAAACUAAGAACAAUAUAAUCUUGAAUAUGAGCAAAUAGAGCAAAGUCAUAACCAAUAUAUUGAAGUAGAACAAAGUCACAUUCAUAAUAUUGAAGAACAAAGAUAAUUAGAAAGUAAUUAGAAACACAAUUAGAGAAUUACCAAGAAUCCUCCUGACAGAUCCGGAAACCAAUCGAAGAUUGACUCCUUCUAGUUCUAAUCCUAUGUAGCUAUGCUAAUCUAGAUAUCUAAUUGAUGUUGUGGCUCUAAUCUUGAUCAGAGGCUUCUUCUCCCUUGAUGGAACAAUGAAUUAGGGUUGAGAGGCUCUCUCCUCCAGGGGCCAGGGGGUCUGGUUUUAUAGUCCCUUCAAGUGAAUAUGGGCCCUUGGAUCAAACCGACAUAGAUUGUAUGGUUUAGAUUCAUCCUUUAGGUCGGUGGAGACUUCCCACAAAGCAGAGUCCUGAUUGGACUUGGACAGGGGGCGGGCGCCCAGUAGGACAGGGCGGGCACCCUGCCUCUGGCCCCGUUUCGCCUCCGCUUCGGUCUCGUGGCUUCUGGAGUCUUCUAGAUGUAAGAUAAUUGCGCAGCACGUUAAUAUCUUUACGUAAUCCUGACAUGUGGGCCUUUCUUUCAUAUUUCCUGAUAACCCCCUGCAGAAAUAGACAAACACCAAAACUCGUGGAAUUCUGUCAGAUAAAACCCUAAGUCUAGAUCUUGAUUUCAUUUGGAUCCUUUUCUUUAUUUAUUUGAUAAUUAAAUUUGAUACUUAAGGACCGUCAACACCCGCCAGGCGGGAACUCACACGCCUAGGCCCACGCCUGCCCUUGAGGGGCCUGGAGCCCUGACAAGGGGUGGCUCGAGGCCCACCGGUCGGGGCGGCGGGAGGCGAGCUGUUCUCCCUGUGGGGUAAGCCUUUUCGAUGUUGUGGCUUUUGUCUUCCUGCUCCUCUGCAUUUCCUCAUAUGCCGAUCUUUUCUCAGGCUAAAGUGGACCCUCGAGCAGGCCCAGCCGUCCAUGGCAAAGAGGCUCAAAACGGGAGCUGCCUCCAAGGAACCAGGUUCGUAGUUUAUUUUGAGGUUUUUGUGAUGUUCUUGUGUCGGUUACUAUAGCGUCUGACCUUUACCCUUUGCUUUGUAGGCUCCUCCGACUCCCAACCUCCAGCCGGCGUCGAGAUUGCUCCGCCUUGUCCCGUGCCUACCCCGUCGCCGCCGACUUGUGGUGAGGCGCCCCAGACGCAAGCGUCAGAAGGAGCCCCCGAGCCCCCUCAAUUGGGGGUCGAGGGGGAACCCAUCACCAUUAGCGAUACGUCUGAUGGUAACGAAGCGUCUGGUGGUGCCCGCCCUAUGGAGGAGGAAACGUCGACCUCCCCCAUCGCGGGACGGACUCCCUGGCCUGCUAGCCUUCGAGCCCUCGAGGAACAGAAGGAGAAAGAGAAAGAGGGGGAGAAACGGGAGCUCGAGGCGACGCGGCCGCCACAGGAGCAGCAAUAUCAGUAGGGGGAGCAGCAGCAGCAGGAGCAGCAACAGCAGCAGCAGCAGGAGCUGCAAAUGCCCGAGGGGCAGCAACAGCAGCAGCAACAGCAGCUGCAGCAGGAGCAAGGGGGCCAAGAGGAAAGGUCGCUCGAGCCCCUGCCUCAAGGUCCGGCCCAACCAGUACCGCCGGCGCCGCAAGAGUCCGGCGAUCAGGGGGAAAAUUUGUCGGUGUACGGCCCUCCCACCCCAGCGUGGCUCCUCCCGGGAGCUCCUGCCGCGAUCCGGGCAGAGUUGGGGCGAACGGACGGAGUGGUGGUGCUCGCCUGUAUGAUGCACACCCCCACCGACCCUGAGUCUGAGAUCAAGAGGACAAUCUAUGGCAUGGACGGGAUCGCGCCAGGGUUCCUCCGAGAGCGUCGGGCGUGGGAGGACCACUUUCCCUCUGAGGAGGAUGAGAUUGGGACGUCGGGGACCAAGGACGGUACCUGGAAGACGGUGGACGACGAUGGGCAGUUCCCAUGCCUCGUCGACCUGUUCCUGCGCCAUGGGGGUUCCCUCGAGACCGUCGAAGACCUCAUCCACGGCGUCAAGGCGCGGGCCGACCGGGAGAUGGAGCAUUGGUGCCCCGAUCGGAUCCGCAUCUGGGCUUCCACCGACCCGUCCGAGCCUAAUAUCUUCCUAGACGAUAGGAAGGAGGCGGAGAAGUGGGAACACGUCAAGGAGCUCCGCCUUUGGAUGAAGCAUGUGGUGGGGCUCCUGGCCGACGUUAUCAACAACGGGCUCGGGCCGGCUUAUUUUAUAAGUGUUUUUCGAUCUUCAAUCUCCACGGAACCUUUUGGUCUUGUGUUCUAACCGUUUGAUCCCUUGUUCGUAGGAUAUGAAAGAGACCUCCCGCAUCAAGUCCAGUUUCAUUCACGCCACGAGGGGCGGCUGGGAGCAGCUCCCCGUCCUCAAGGAUCAACUCCUCGAGUCACAGGAGAAACUCCUUAAGGCCUAUAAAGAUCUCAUAGCGCUCGGGGAGGAGAAGAAGGCGAGUGAGGUUGCCUUGGCGGAGGCUCGAGAGGCCUCGAAAAAGGCGGAGGAGGAGACGACGCUGCUGCGGGAGCGGGCUCUGACGGUCGAGGAGGCUGCAUCCAGAGCCCGGGAGGAGGCCCUGUCCUACAAGAACGUUAUUGCGGAUCUGGACAAGGAGAAGGGCCUUCUCAAUACCGACCUGGACUCCCUCCGUGAUUCCUUCCAGAAGAUGAAGGUGGCGUAUGUGGAUAGUGAGGUCGCCAGGAGUACUGCCGAGGACGUAAAGAAGAAGGCCCUCGAAGACCUCGAGGCGGAGCAGGCUCGAUCCCGCAGUCUCUCUGACGACGUUGAGCGUCUGAAGGGAGAAUUGCUGGAGAAGAGCGGGGCCAUUGCUCAGGCUGGCAAGGUGAUCGAAGAUCUCCGCGUUGCCAAUACUGAGCUGGCGCGCUCCAACAGAGAGAUCGAGAGGGCCAACACCAGAUUGGUCGGUGAGAACACGGCCCUGGAGGAGAGUGUUCGAGGUAAGUUUCCUUUGCCGGGUUACUUUUUCGAGGUGUGCUGGGCUUUUUUCCUAAAGCUUCUUGUAUUGGCAUUUACAGGGCUUAAGGACGAACUCCUAGCCGCUCAAGUCGAGGCCCGUAAUGCUAAGGCCCAGCUCGAGGCGGAGGUUGCCUUGAACCGUCGCGUGCGGACGGCGAUAAGCGACCUCUCGACCUCUUGGGAGGUCGAGCCUAUGGACGAGUCGAGGGAGGGAGCUCGAGGCGACGCACUGGUGUUGACGGUCCUUAAUGCUCACAUUUAACCAUCAACUAAUCAUGGAAAAGGAUCCAAAUGCAACCAACACCUAGACUUAGGGUUUUAUCUGACAGAAUUCGACGAGUUUUGGUGUUUAUCUAUUUCUGCAGGGGGUUAUCAGGAAAUAUGGAAGAAAGGCCCACAUGUCGGGAUUACGUAGAGAUAUUAACGUGCCGCGCAAUUUUCUACCAUCUAGAAGACUCUAGAUGCCACGGGAACGAACGGGAAGGCGAUCGGGCUCGGAGGCAGGGCGCCCGCCCUACUCUCCUGGGCGCCCGCCCUGCUACAGUGCCCAAUCAGGGUCAACUUCGCGGAUCAUGCUCCACCGACUCUAAGGAUCAAGGAAAAUCACGCGAUUAAGGUCGGUUUGAUCGGAUGGUGGAGAAUAACGUGGAAAUUCCUUGGGAGCUACUCUUCCUAGAUUUCUUGGGAGCUACUCUUCCUAGAUUUCUUGGGGGCUACUCUUCCUGGACUAGGGUUUCAAUUCUUCAUCCAAGUAGAGAGGAUCCCUCUAGUUCUUCUAGUUCUAGUUCCUCUAGUUCUAGUUCUAGUUAGUUCUAGUUGUAAUCUAGAAAAUAGGGAGAGAGAAGAGGAGAGCGGAGGAGGAGCCAGAUCUGUCGGAUCUUCCUCAACAUUGUACUUUUGCAGCAACUGGUUCGUUCUUCAUCGUUCUCCAGGUUCUUCAAUUCAUAAUCCUGAGUUCUUUAAUUACUUUUAUUUACAUUCAAGUUAUUUAUUGGAUUCCCGCUUGCAUCAAGUGCUCUAAUCUUUGCAACAUUAGAGUAGUAAUUAAUAGAUUAGACGUGGUGUUUAGUCUUGCAAUUACCUGGAAUUGUACCCAAUCCUGCGGAUUGUUGUGGUAGCCUUAGGGUAGUGACAGCCCUAAUGGUCGACGUAUUCCACCUCGUUCGGAUCGGUGUUUGUAGGACCGUAGUCAGACCUUCCUAGCCCCCUUCUCAUCUCUUUCUGUGGUUAGUGCUCUGAUGUCCCGAUAUAGAUAAUCUUGAAGUAAUUCUUGAUUCUUAGAUCAACUAGAGAACUCUCAGGAAACUUCCUCUCUUUCCACCAAAAAUAAUUAUAUAGUUAUCCUUGCGCGAUCUUGGAUCUUAAUUAGUACACUCACGUUCUCUGUGGAAAAUCGAUACUCUGGAAUACUCCCGGGUGAAAGCUACAUCGGUAUCCAUGCGCUUGCGGAUUUUUCUGUUUGCGUUUAAAAUACCCAACAAGCUUUCUGGCGCCGUUGCCGGGGAACGGUAGCUGUGCUAGUUUCGAACCAAGUCGUCCGUGUAUCCUUUUUCUUUUCCUUUUUACCACACUCACCUUACCAUUUUCACCACACCACAUGGAUUUCACUCCUAUUUAUAAAUUCUUUGCUCCAAAGGGCGAGUUAUUAGAGCCACCACCAUCAUCACAUCCAAUUCUUACAGAUGGCUACGACCUCGGCCCUGAUCUAAUAGCCAUGAUUCAGGAGCAACCCUUCUCUGGGCAAGUAGAUGAAGAUCCAUACACCCACCUUAGAGAAUUCGAGCAGUUGUGCUCUUGCCGAUCUAUUUCCGGCAUGACACAAGAAACCCUUAAAUGGAAAUUAUUUCCGUUCUCCCUUUUGGGAAGAGCAAAAAAGUGGUAUGCUCAUUCUGUAGGGAGCGUUAAUGCAAAUUGGGAUGAACUUCGGGACAACUUUUGUCUCGCUUUCUUCCCACUUUUUCGAAUUGCUGACCUUAGAAUCGAAAUUCUUACAUUCAAACAAAGAGAGAAGGAAACUUUAGGAGCAGCUUGGGCUAGGUUCACAAGCCUUACCAAUUCCGGUCCAAACCUUUCCCUGCCUGACCAUGUACUGUACUACGACUUUUAUCGUGGUCUAAGCAAGGAAGCUGCUCUUCACCUCGACAUUGCUUCAGGAGGCUCAUUCACACACAAGCUCACAGAUGAGGGGAGAGCUAUCCUAGAGAAAAUCCUUGAAAAUACACCUUACACAGGCAUUUAUGAUGAGUUUCCUGAAGAAGAAAAAGAAGUCGAGCCUGAUCCUAAACCAAAAGAUGAGGAACUUGCAACCGAGUUAGAAAUUCCACUUGACCCACCUAUUAAUUUGGUUGUAGAGAAACCUCCUUAUAAAGGAAUGCAAAACCAACUAAGGGAUGAUGAACCACCACCUUUAGAGCAUCCCUUUGAAUUCGAGGAAGAUCUUUUUGAAGAUUAUGGAAACACCUCGAAUUUUCCUAUCCAAACACGACCUCUAGCAAGGACCACUCAAUCUGUUCUAAGAGUAGAAUCUGUUGACAUAGAACACAUCAAAAGCCUUUCGGCUAUUCUGAGUUACGAAUGGCUAACAGAAGCAGAGCUGUCUCCUGAGGUAGCUCGGAUCGUCACUCCUUCAACCAUUCUUCUGUGCCAAAUCAGAAGGUCCGCUAGGAAGGUCCACUACAAUCCAUAUGUUGGGAUAAAUGUUAUUUCCAAGGAGUUAGCUGACACUCUUUAUCCCAACGAGUCCAUAACCCCAUCUCAAAAACUUUUACAAAGUCCAUCUAGACUAAUUCUAGAAAGCCAUGGGGUAUUAAGGGCAGUUCCUGUUAGAAUCAAGGACUCUGGAAUAUGUCUAGAUUUCCACAUUUUUGACAUACCAGAGAUUCCUCUCUUGAUUGGCAGACCAAUCAUGAAACUUCUACAGGAACAACCACAACGAGGUCAUUUAGACUUCAAGGUUGGGAAUUCCACUAUUGUUGUUCCUCCUGCUAGAUCAAUUAACACGAUAGUGGAACCCAAACUAGACCCAGAUCCUAUUGAGGAGGUCUUAAUGGUGACUCAAGAGGAGAUGACCCAACCAUUCUUUAAUCAUGAACACUUUGUUCAAGAAGAAGAAGAGUUGGUAGAACCUGUUGAGCUAGACAAAAAUGAACUACCUUCACCUCCUUCGAUAGAAUUAAAACCUCUUCCUUCUGGCCUUAGAUAUGUCUUCUCGCACAACAACUCAAAAACUCCAGUAAUUAUCAGUGACAAGCUUUCCGAUUAUGAAACACAACAACUUGUCACUGUUCUUGAAAGACAUAGAUCAGCAUUCGGCUACUCUCUCGAGGAUCUCACGGGCAUUAGUCCCAUUCUCUGCACUCAUCGUAUCCCUAUUGAUCCCAAUUCUACACCUUCAAGGGAACCACAACGGAGACUUAACAAUGCUAUGUGAGAGGUUGUUAAGAAAGAGGUCCUCAAACUCUAUCGUGCUGGGAUUAUUUAUCCUGUGCCACAUAGUGAGUGGGUUAGCCCUGUCCAAGUAGUGCCAAAGAAAGGAGGAAUGACGGUCGUUAGGAAUGAGAAGAAUGAACUCAUCCCUCAACGAAUUGUCACUAGGUGGCGUAUGGGUAUUGACUAUCGAAAACUCAAUAAGGCUACAAAGAAAGAUCAUUUUCCGUUACCCUUCAUUGAUGAAAUGUUGGAACGGCUUGCAAACCACUCUUUCUUUUGUUUCCUUGAUGGUUAUUCUGGAUAUCACCAAAUCCCAAUCCACCCAGAUGACCAAGAAAAGACUACCUUUACAUGCCCAUAUGGAACUUAUGCAUACCGACGAAUGUCGUUCGGAUUGUGCAAUGCUCCAGCUUAUUUCCAACGGUGCAUGAUGUAUAUUUUCUCGGACAUGAUUGAGAAGAUCAUGGAGGUUUUCAUGGAUGAUUUUACCGUCUAUGGCAAAACCUUCGAUCAUUGUUUGGAGAACUUAGAUAGAGUCUUGCAGCGAUGUGAAGAAAAGCACUUAAUCCUGAACUGGGAGAAAUGCCAUUUUAUGGUUCAGGAAGGAAUAGUGCUAGGACAUAAAGUGUCCGAACGUGGUAUAGAGGUGGACAAAGCGAAGAUUGAAGUUAUUGAAAAACUUCCACCUCCCACGAAUGUGAAAGGAAUUCGUAGCUUUUUGGGACAUGCAGGGUUCUAUAGACGCUUUAUCAAGAAUUUCUCUCAAAUUGCUAGACCCCUAACUAAUCUCCCAGCUAAGGACGCACCUUUCAUCUUUAGUGAUGAGUGUCAUGAAUCUUUUCAAACUCUUAAGAAAGCACUCAUCUCAGCCCCGAUUAUCCAACCACCAGAUUGGAAUCUUCCUUUUGAGAUCAUGUGUGAUGCUAGCGAUUUUGCGGUUGGUGCCGUUUUAGGACAAACCAAGGAUAGAAAGCAUUAUGCCAUAUCCUACGCUAGCAAAACCUUGUCUGGACCACAGCUCAAUUAUACUACAACUGAAAAAGAGCUUUUGGUUGUUGUCUUUGCUAUAGACAAGUUUAGAUCUUACUUAGUGGGGGUAAAGAUAAUCAUCUAUUCAGACCAUGCUGCUCUCAAGUACCUCCUCACUAAGAAAGAUGCUAAGCCUCGUCUAAUUCAAUGGAUUCUUCUUCUCCAAGACUUUGACAUAGAAAUCCGAGAUAGGAAGGGAGUUGAGAAUUCCGUAGCCGACCACUUGUCUAGGCUUCAAUAUAAGGAAACACAUGAUGAGCUUCCCAUAAAUGACUACCUAAGGGAUGACACCCUGCUUAAGAUAACACACGCAGAUCCAUGGUACGCAGACAUCGUAAACUUUAUAGUAAAAGGCUAUGUCCCACCUGGUGCAAACAAAAGGAAGUUGCUUCACGAUAGUCGUUUCCACCUUUGGGAUGAGCCAUAUCUUUUCCGAGUCUGCGCUGAUGGACUCUUGAGAAGGUGUGUUCCUAUGGCUGAGGCUACUCAAAUUAUGGAAAGAUGCCAUGCCUCGCCAUAUGGAGGACACUAUGGAGCAUUUCGGACACAUGCUAAAAUUUGGAAAAGUGGCUUUUUCUGGCCAACGAUGUAUGAAGAUACAAAGGACUUUGUCAGGAGAUGCCACCGAUGUCAAAAACAUGGGAAUAUUAACUCACGAAAUGAAAUGCCUCUCACAAAUAAUCUUCAAGUAGAACUUUUCGAUGUAUGGGGCAUUAAUUUCAUGGGGCCAUUCCCUAUGUCCGGGAAUUGCAAAUAUAUCUUAGUAGCCGUGGACUACGUGUCCAAAUGGGUAGAAGCCUUACCUUGUCGAUCAGCUGAUUCAAAACAUGCCAAGAGAAUGUUCCAUGAAGUAAUCUUUCCUCGCUUUGGUAUACCCUGGAUAGUUAUAAGCGAUGGAGGUUCCCACUUCAUCGACAAAAUCUUCCGGAAGUACCUAGCCGAUCAUGGAGUUCGACACAACAUCGCAACACCAUACCAUCCUCAGACUAGCGGUCAAGCCGAAACACCUAACAAACAAAUCAAAAAUAUUUUACAAAAGACCGUAGAUGAGAUGGGUAAGGGGUGGAAGGACAAACUUCCUAAUGCACUUUGGGCAUAUAGAACUGCAUUCAGAACACCCAUAGGCAUGUCACCUUAUCAACUUGUAUAUGGAAAAACUUGUCACUUGCCUGUGGAAGUAGAGUUUAAGGCUCAUUGGGCACUCAAGAAAUGGAACAUGGAUCUCCACCUCGCUAGUGAGAAUCGUCUGAUGCAACUAUCUGAGCUAGAAGAAUGGAGAGAGAAAGCCUACCACAAUUCAAGGAUUUAUAAAGAGAGAACAAAACGAUGGCAUGAUAAGAGAAUCAAGCACAAGGAGUUUAAGCCUGGAGAUAAGGUUCUACUAUUCAAUUCAAGAGUUAAGCUCUUUGGGCAUGGUAAGCUACGAAGAAAGUGGGAUGGACCAUACAAGGUUAUUGACAUUUCAACUCAUGGAGCCAUUACCAUCCAAGACGACAGAGGUAACACUUUUAAGGUAAAUGGUCAACGCUUGAAAAUCUAUCUUGAGCCACAAAACAACCUGGUAGAGGAACUUGAUGUGAUUGAGUUCAUAGAAUUCUCAUAUUAAGCUCUAGACAAUUACCUAACCCUUAACAUGCUCCACAAGUUUUGUUGUCUAUUUGGGUUGUGUAGGAUUUUGAGGCUUAAGAAGAGUGAGACCAACCAUGCAGGCCACAAGAGCGAAUGACUAUGUCAACAUCCAGCUUGGGGGAGGCACCCCCACAUGUAUCUAGAUAAGUAUUACUUUUCUUCCUUUGGUUUUAUUUUCUAGUAUUCGAAAAUAAAUAAAUAAAUAAAUAAAAAUGCAUAACCAUGAAACCAAACAAAGUUUUUCUUUUGAGUAAUAUACAAUAGUUUUGUGUAAUCCUAAGUUUUAGAUAAAAAUAAAAAAAAAGUUUGAUUCAAGUCUAGGUAAUUGACAAACAUGAUAUGAGAAGGUCUGAGCUACUAUUUAACUUGUUCUAAGUUUUGCUAGAGUUCUGGAGAUUUUAUCUUUUGAAAAUCUAAAAAUUCAUAAAAAAUAUAAAUAUAUGAGAUCAUAAUACCUAGAGUCUUAUAAGAAAUAAAUAUUAAAACUGUGGGUACUUUCUUUGUUCAAGCCAUUGUUAAUUCUUGUAGUUUUGGUUGAGAGAAUUAUCAUGCUCUCAAGAUCAAGAUCUUUUUGUUUUAAAAAUAUAAAAGAUUCACUCUUCCAAAGUAUUAUUGCGUUAGAGGCAUGGGACUAUGCAAAAAUUUGUUUCAAAAAAAAGAAAGAGUGAGACGAGAGGUAAAAAUGGACAAGUGUCCGAAGUAGAAUUAGGGGUACAAAGAUACCCACUUGAGUGAAAAAAAUGGACAUGUGUCCGACAGUAGAAUUAGGGGUACUUGCUGCCCACUUAAAAAAAGAAGAGACUGAAAAAAAAGAAAAAAAAGAGAAAAAAAAAUGAUAGCCCAUGGUUCCUCUAAUAAGCAAUAUGCCAGUAAGAGAUGACAAACUUUUCAAAAAGGUGAAAGGUCUUGAUCCAGGAGUAUGACAUUCCUCUCCCUUGCUCCGAGCUUUGACAUAGCAAAAUGCAAAGUAAGUAAGCUAAAACUUUUAAAGCUCUACUUAUAUAUCUUUCGAGAAGAAGGCAAAUAACUUAGUUUUAUUUUGAAAACUUACAAACAACUCCGGAACAAAGGUAAGACAGAAGAGCUUGAGACAUAGUGCUUGACUUGAUCGUUCUGUUUUUCAAUCACUUAAGACCUUAAAACCCUGUAGUAAGAGGCAUAAAAGUAACCCCUAUUUUCUUACUGAUUUUAGCUUUGCUCAGGGACGAGCAAAGGUUAAGCUUGGGGGAGCUUGUUGACGGUCCUUAAUGCUCACAUUUAACCAUCAACUAAUCAUGGAAAAGGAUCCAAAUGCAACCAACACCUAGACUUAGGGUUUUAUCUGACAGAAUUCCACGAGUUUUGGUAUUUAUCUAUUUCUGCAGGGGGUUAUCAGGAAAUAUGGAAGAAAGGCCCACAUGUCGGGAUUACGUAGAGAUAUUAACGUGCCGCGCAAUUUUCUACCAUCUAGAAGACUCUAGAUGCCACGGGAACGAACGGGAAGGCGAUCGGGCUCGGAGGCAGGGCGCCCGCCCUACUCUCCUGGGCGCCCGCUCUGCUACAGUGCCCAAUCAGGGUCAACUUCGCGGAUCGUGCUCCACCGACUCUAAGGAUCAAGGAAAAUCACGCGAUUAAGGUCGGUUUGAUCGGAUGGUGGAGAAUAACGUGGAAAUUCCUUGGGAGCUACUCUUCCUAGAUUUCUUGGGAGCUACUCUUCCUAGAUUUCUUGGGGGCUACUCUUCCUGGACUAUAUAAGCAGACCCCCACCAGCCCCUGGAGGCAUACCUCUUCUACAGAAUCAAAGCUAGGGUUUCAAUUCUUCAUCCAAGUAGAGAGGAUCCCUCUAGUUCUUCUAGUUCUAGUUCCUCUAGUUCUAGUUCUAGUUAGUUCUAGUUGUAAUCUAGAAAAUAGGGAGAGAGAAGAGGAGAGCGGAGGAGGAGCCGGAUCUGUCGUAUCUUCCUCAACAUUGUACUUUUGCAGCAACUGGUUCGUUCUUCAUCGUUCUCCAGGUUCUUCAAUUCAUAAUCCUGAGUUCUUUAAUUACUUUUAUUUACAUUCAAGUUAUUUAUUGGAUUCCUGCUUGCAUCAAGUGCUCUAAUCUUUGCAACAUUAGAGUAGUAAUUAAUAGAUUAGACGUGGUGUUUAGUCUUGCAAUUACCUGGAAUUGCACCCAAUCCUGCGGAUUGUUCUGGUAGCCUUAGGGUAGUGACAGCCCUAACGGUCGACGUAUUCCACCUCGUUCGGAUCGGUGUUUGUAGGACCGUAGUCAGACCUUCCUAGCCCCCUUCUCAUCUCUUUCUGUGGUUAGUGCUCUGAUGUCCCGAUAUAGAUAAUCUUGAAGUAAUUCUUGAUUCUUAUGUCAACUAGAGAACUCUUAGGAAACUUCCUCUCUUUCCACCAAAAAUAAUUAUAUAGUUAUCCUUGGGCGAUCUUGGAUCUUAAUUAGUACACUCACGUUCUCUGUGGAAAAUCGAUACACUCACGCUGAGAGACCGAGUGCGGGACGCCCUCCACAUCGGGGUGAAGCGGGCGAUGGCAGUUGUCUGCUCGGGCUUCUCCUAUGACAUGGAGGUGGUGUCCCACGGCUUCGUCACCGACAUCUCCAAGACCGACGCGGAGAACGAAGAGAGGCUCCAUGCCUUGAUCGACGACGCGGAGGCUCCUGGAGAGAGGCUGGCCAAGCUUUUUGAACCUGAGGCGCUUCCUCCUGAGACUAGCUCGGGCAGAGGCGAGGGUGGUGAGGAUCGUUCCAUGGACUGAGGCCUGCGAGCCUGCUCAGGGUGCCCAGGGCCCCUUGUAUAAUACUUUGUUAAUCCUGUUGUUAAGCGAUACAGUAUCUUUUUGUAAUUAUUAAAUGCUUAUUUGUCUUUCCGCUCGAGGUUCUUUUAUUUCUCUUUGUUCCUACGUUUGAGUUCCUUGUUCGAUCUUUCGUAAAAAACAACCUCGAUCGCCUCAAGGGUGAGGGAGUGAGUAGAGUUUCCGUAGCCCGGGGGCGUAGGAGUUCUUAGGCUCGUUGUCCCUCGGCCUUUGAGGGGCUCGAGGUGCCUUAGCUACUCGAAUCGUGCAAGGUUUACUAAGUAGGAAGAGAAAAUUUCUUGGCUUUUUCGACGCACGGGGAGGGGUUGUCCCCCUGGUAGCCCCCGAGGGGGUGUUGACUAUGAUGGGUCAUAGUCGGCACCCCCUUCUAACGUCGAGAUUAUGACUUGUAAAUCCUUGGUGCAAAAAAGAAGUUGCUCGAGGGAAAGACUUCGUAUAUUCAUUCAUUCGUUUACAAAGUCUUGGUACAAAAUGUAAGCAGGAACAUAAGUUUAGAACUUCUAGGGGUAGAAUCGACGUAGCUGUUCAAUGUUCCAUGCGUUGGUGAAGAUCGCUCCCUUCUCGUCCGCUAACUUGUACGUCCCUGGUUUCAGGACCUCGGCCACCACAUACGGGAACUCCCAAGGUGGAGUCAGCUUGUGGCGUCCUUGAUUGCUUUGCCGGCGUCGUAGGACAAGGUCACCCACGUGGAGGUCCCUCUUGCGCACAUGCUUGUCGUGGUAGCGUCGAAGUUUCUGCUGAUAUCUGGCAGAGUUGAGGAGGGCCAUGUCUCGAGCCUCCUCGAGCUGGUCGACCGCGUUCUCUUGAGUUUCCUUAUUCGACUGCUCGUUGUAUGCCUUGAGUCGAGGAGAUCCAUACUCGAGGUCCAUUGGGAGCACGGCCUCGGAACCGUAGACCAUGAAGAACGGGGUGUAUUUAGUGGCCCAGCUUGGGGUCGUCCUCAAACUCCAUAAGACCGAGGAAAGCUCCUCGACCCACUUCUUGGCAAAUUUCUUCAGGCGAUUGUAGAUUCUUGGUUUGAGCCCCUGCAAGAUCAUGCCGUUGGCGUGCUCGACCUGGCUGUUAGUUCGAGGGUGAGCCACCGCGGACCAGUUCACACGGAUGUGAUGCUGAUCGUAGAAGUCCAAGAACUUUUUGCCGGUGAACUGGGUGCCGUUGUCGGUGAUGAUCACGUUAGGGAUUCCGAAUCGGUGUAUGAUGUCGGUGAAGAAAAGGACGGCUUGCUCGGAGCGGAUGUUGGUGAUGGGUCGAGCCUUGAUCCAUUUGGAGAAUUUGUCGAUGGCCACCAGCAAGUGGGUGUACCCUCCUUUCGCCUUUUGCAGGGGCCCUACUAAGUCGAGUCCCCACACCGCGAAUGGCCACGUGAUGGGAAUCAUCUGAAGAGCGUGGGCGGGCAGAUGCGUCUGCUUGGCGUAGAACUGGCAUCCAUGACAUGAACGUACGAGCUCGAUGGCAUCUGCCACGGCCGUUGGCCAGUAGAAACCUUGUCGAAAGGCGUUUCCUACGAGGGUCCAUGGAGCAGCAUGGUGGCCACAAGCCCUCGAGUGUAUGUCCUCGAGGAGUUUUCGGCCUUCUUCUACGGUGAUGCAACGCUGCAAGACCCCCGUCGGGCUUCGUCGGUAUAGCUCAUUGCCUUCGCCAUAAAUCACAUAUGACUUGGCCCGUCGAGCGAUAUGGCGGGCCUCAGAUCGAUCUUCUGGUAGCUCGCAGCGGAUUAGGCAGUCGAGGAACGGUGUGCGCCAGUCGAACGGUCGACCGGGUCGCUGUUCCGCCUCCAUCACCUCUACUGCCAUCAGCAGCGUGUCGACAGUGUCGGUUGGCUGGGCGGGGGCGGCAUCGACGCCAGCCCCCGAGCCCAAGUCGACGGAUGGUUCGUGGAGAUCUCUCGAGAGCGCGUCAGGUGGCACCGUGCCUCGGGUCGACGCGAUUUUAGCGAGUUCGUCAGCUGCUUCGUUGUAGCGUCGAGCGAUGUGGACGAGCUCGAGGCCAUGGAACUUGUCCUCGAGUCGACGGACUUCUUUGCAGUACGCCUCCAUUUUCGGGUCGUGGCAGCUCGAAGUCUUCAUCACCUGGUCGAUGACGAGUUGGGAGUCACCUCGGACGUCGAGGCGUCGAACUCCUAGCUCGAUGGCGAUUUUGAGACCGUUGACGAGGGCCUCAUAUUCUGCGACGUUGUUGGAUGCGGCAAAGUGAAUCCUGAUGACAUACCUCAUAUGGACGCCCAAGGGUGAGAUGAACAACAGGCCAGCCCCGGCCCCUGUUUUCAUGAGUGACCCGUCGAAAUACAUCGUCCACAGUUCCGCCUAGACCUGGGUCGGGCGGAGCUGGGAGUCUGUCCAUUCCGCGAUGAAGUCCACCGGGGCUUGCGAUUUGAUGGCCUUGCGAGGCGCGUAAGUGAGAGUCUCACUCAUGAGUUCGACUGACCAUUUAGCUAUUCUUCCCGUGGCCUCCUUGCUCCGGAUUAUCUCGCCCAAAGGGAAAGACAAGACCACCGUGAUGGGGUGGCCGAGAAAGUAGUGCUGCAGCUUGCGGCGGGCGAGGAUUACGGCGUAGAUCAGCUUCUAGAUUUGGGGGUAACGUACCUUGGUCUCCGAAAGCACUCCAUUGAUGAAAUAGACUGGCCUCUAGACUGGCAGCGCAUGCCCCUCCUCCGGCCUCUCGACCACCACCGCUGCACUGACGACCUGGGUCGUCGACGCAACGUAAAGGAGCAGUGGUUCUGCAGGUUGAGGCGGGACCAAGACCGGUGCUGAGGUCAGCGUUUUCUUCAGUCUUUCGAGAGCUUCCUCGGCCUCGGGGGUCCAAGAAAAGCGCUCGACCUUCUUUAGGAGGCGGUAUAGUGGCAACGCCUUUUCCCCUAGUCUCGAGAUGAAACGGCUCAGAGCCGCCAGGCAUCCUGUGAUUCUCUGUACACCCUUGAUGUCUCGGAUCAGCCCCAUUCUUGUGAUGGCCGAGGCUUUCUCGGGGUUGGCCUCGAUGCCGCGCUGGGACACAAUGUAACCCAAGAGCAUGCCUCGAGGCACGCCGAAGACGCAUUUUUCGGGAUUGAGUUUGAUCUGGUUGGUGCGUAAGCAGCUAAAAGCGAUCUCGAGGUCCUGGAUCAGGUCCCCUCGCCGCUUUGACUUGACGACAAUGUCGUCAACGUAGGCCUCGACCGUCGACCCUAUGUGUUUGCCAAAUACGUGGAGCAUGCAACGUUGGUACGUGGCCCCCGCGUUUCGAAGCCCAAACGGCAUGGUUACAUAGCAAUACAUCCCAAAAGGCGUGAUGAAAGAGGUCGCGAGCUGGUCGGACUCUUUCAUUUUAAUUUGAUGGUAACCAGAAUAUGCAUCGAGGAAAGAAAGGGUUUCACAUCCCGCAGUAGAAUCGACAAUCUGGUCAAUACGUGGUAAUGGAAAAGGAACUUUCGGACAUGCUUUAUUUAGACUUGUAUAAUCGACACACAUCCUCAUUUUCCCAUUCUUUUUCUUAACUAGUACAGGGUUUGCUAACCAGUCGGGAUGAUGAACCUCCUUGAUGAAUCCGGCCAUCAAAAGCUUGUGGACCUCCUCGCCAAUGAUCUUGCGCUUCUCCUCGUCGAAUCGGCGCAACCGUUGCUUCACUGGCUUGGAACCGGCUCGAAUCUCCAAGGAGUGCUCGGCGACUUCCCUCGGUAUGCCUGGCAUGUCCGAGGGACUCCACGCAAACACGUCGGCGUUCGCACGGAGAAAGUCGACGAGAACAGCUUCCUAUUUGGGGUCGAGGUCGGCGCUGAUCGUCAGCACCUUGCCGUCGGAGUUGUUGGGGUCGAGCGGGAUCUUCUUGGUUCCUUCCGCUGGCUCGAAGUUGCCCGUGUGGCGCUUGGGCUCUGGAGCCUCAGCGGCCAGGGCCUCGAGCUUUGCGACGAGCUCGGUGGAGUUCUCGACCGCCUCCCCGUGCUCGACGCACUCGACGUCGCAUUUGUAAGCGUGCUCGAAGGAGGAGCUGACGGUGAUGACGCCUUUGGGUCCAGGCAUCUUCAGCUUCAAGUAGGUGUAAUUGGGAAUGGCCAUGAACUUGGCGUAGCCCGGGCGCCCGAUGAUGGCGAGGUACGUGCCCCGGAACCCGACCACCUCAAAGGUGAGGGUCUCCUUCCUGAAGUUGGCCGCCGUGCCAAAACAGACUGGUAGGUCGAUUCGACCUACUGGCAGCGCCUUUUUCCCUGGCACGACGCCAUGGAACCCGCCGGCGCUUGGCUGGAGUCGUCCCCUAUCGAUGUCGAGGAGGUCGAGGGUCUCGAGAUAGAUGAUGUUGAGGCUGCUGCCUCCGUCCAUUAGCACCUUGGAGAGCCGGGUGUUGAUGAUGAUUGGGUCGACGACAAGCGGGUAGACACCUGGGGCGACUACCUUGUCGGGGUGGUCCUCUCGAUCGAAGGUAAUGGGGGUGCUCGACCAGUUGAGGUACUGGGGUAUUGCCAUUCUUGCCGCGAAGACCUCACGGCGUUCCCUUUUGCGCUGCCUCGCGGUCAACUGUGUCGAAGGCCCACCAUAGAUCAUAGCAGUCGUGGACGGCGGGGAAGCCGUCGUCGUCCUUGCUGCCCUCUUUGUCACCGCCUUUCUCCUUCUUUGAUUCGUCACGCUCAUCCCUUUUGAACCCCAGACCGUCGAAAUGCCUUUUCAGCAUUCGGCAGUCCUUGAGCUUGUGGUUGGCGCCUCCCUUAUGGUAAGGGCAUGGCUCUUCAAGCAUCUUGUCGAAAAUACCUCCGUCUGGGGGGCCUCUGGGCUUCUUCCGCUCCAUGGCAGCGACGAGAUCAUCGUCGAAGUUCUCCUGCUUGUACUGCCGCACUUUCUGCUUCUUCUUGUUCUUCUUGAGUCCUCGACUGGGGGUUCCAUCUUCAUCGGCAGGCCGCUUGCCUUCCCCCACUUCACAGCUGAAGAAGGCGCCGACUGCCUCCUCCCCUGCCGCGUAGUUUGCCACUACGUCCAUCAGCUCAUCGACGGUCUGAGGGCGAUUUCGGCCCAGUUCCCGCACUAAGUCUCGACUGGUGGUACUAGAGACGAAAGCCAGGAUGACGUCAUGGUCGGGGAUGUGCGGCAGCUCAGUGUGCUGCUUCGAGAAGCAUCGAGCAUACUCUCGAAGAGUUUCUCCUGACUUCUGCUUGCACUUGCUGAGGUCCCAUGAAUUUCCGGGCCGUAUGUAGGUCCCUUUGAAAUUUCCCUCGAAGACUUUAACCAAAUCGACCCGGUCGUGGAUUUGAUUUGCUGGAAGUUCCUCGAGCCAUCGACGGGCGGUGUCGGAGAGGAAGAGUGGUAGCUGUCUAAUAAUGGCUCGAUCAUCCCCUCGAGCGCCACCUAACUGGCAGGCCAGCCUAAAAUCAGCCAGCCAUAAUUCUGGCUUGGUCUCUCCAUUGUAUUUCGCGAUGCUGGUCGGGGGUCGGAAUAGACUGGGCAGGGGCGUGCUGCGGAUCGCCCUGCUGAACACCCGUGGGCCCGGUGGCUCGGGGGCCACCCGGUCCUCGUCGCUGUCGUACCUUCCGCCGCGAUGUGCACUGUAACCUCGCUCUUCCGCGUCUCCGUGGCCGCGGCGUCGAUUUUCUUCGAUGUCAUGCCGCGCGUCGUGUCGAUGCUGAUUGUCAGCAGGGAGAACGAGAGCGGUCUUUCUACCUCGAGGAGGAGGCUGUUGAUGGACUGACACCUCCUUUUCAUUUUGAGGCGGCUCGUCGCGCUUUUCAGUGGCAGCUCCCCGUCGUCGAGAAGCUGAGCUUUCGGCUUGUUGAACUGCCGCCACCUGGAGCAGAGUCUGUACUUCGUCUCGAAUGCGCCGAGCCUGGGAGUUCGAUGGCUCUGGCAUGUUGCGUAGCAGCAUCGUUGCCGCUACUACAUUCUGGCCCGCUCGAGGGAAAUGGCUGACGGGCUGCUCUGGCUCUGCGUCUCCGACGAUUUGUCGAUGUACCUCUCUAGCACGUCUUCGGACACUUCCGCCUGGUGGGUAUGGCAGGUCCUGCUCAAGGAUUUGCUCAAGCAGGACGAGGCGCUCUCGGUCUUCGUCGAGCUUCAUCUUGAGCUCUCGCAGCUGUGCUAGCUGUGCAGCCUUGUCUUCUUGUGGAGGGGGGUCGACCUGUCCGUCGUUCCCAGGCGUCCUGGGGUCUUCUCGUGCCGCGGGGGCUCGACCGCCCGCAGCAGCAUCCCGCGUCUCAUCGGUAGUUUCUACCGCCCCGUCGAUGUGAUAGCAUUCCCUUGUUGGGUCGUAGCUAUCAGUCUCGGAGUCGGAGUCCGGCUCGGCGGCGUAGAAACAUCCACGUCCCUCCUCCAACAGCCGCUGCCUGAGUGAAGUGAUCGUGUAGCGUCCGGGGCCUAGGCGGCGGAGGCCUCGCACCUGGGAGAGAUCCGGCAGUUCAGACGUCGGCUGUAGUGCUCCAGAGUUACGUGGGAGGACCAUUGGUCUCUCCACGUACGUCUGGGCGUUUGGGCAUAUUACUCUGGCGAGCGACGCCGCGGCGUUAUCUAACCCGAAUGGCAGUGCCCUUCUUGGGGUAAACAACCCGUGUGGAAGUAGCUUUACAGCGGUGGGGGAAGAUGCGCGAGACGCGUCCCCUCCCGUCGUCACGCGGCGUUGAGCCGUCGUGCCCGCAUUUCCGGCACAUGAUGUCACCGGCUCGCGGUCCGCUUCCUGCCUCGCAUGAGUUGCCGGUAGUGAUGAGGCAGAGGGGCGGUGGUGGUGCUGUCCGCGCCUCUUCUUGGGCAGGGAGGCGUGGUGGCGAGGGCGUCUUGGGGCCCUCAACCGAGCUGGUGCAACGCGGGCUCCUCCCGGUCCUUUGACUGAGAGCAAGAUCAUGUCGUAGCCGGAGCCCAUUGAUAUGAACUCGAGACUCCCAAACCAAAUCACCGUUGAGCACGGAAUCGGCGAGGCAAGAGCUGCCAUCUGGAAAGGAGUGGGAAACCGAUGAAAAACACGCAGGACCCCUACCUGGCGCGCCAACUGUCGGUGUUUUCCCCACGGGGGGUCACACCAACGAGUGAAUUUGUAUGCGUGCUCCCUUUCCCAGAUGGUGAUGCAAGAAGACACAGAGAUUUAUCCUGGUUCGGGCAAGAGAAGGCCCUACGUCCAGCGGGGGGGAGAGAGUUUGUAUUAUCUUGUGCCUAAGUGCUUGUACAGGGGCGAAUACAAGCGUGGUAUGGAGUGUGGAGUUCUACUACGAAUGAGCGUUGUGUGUGUGUAAUAUUGCGUGGUGUUGUCUCUCCUGUUCUAUUCCUGAGUCCCUCCUUUUAUAGUUCCAAGGAGAGACCCAGGGUACAUGUAUAGGUGUCAGAAUAGGAGUCGAUAGCAGCAUGGAGCACUGACCUACACGAGGCUUCCGUACUGGCAUGGCCUCGAGCCGUCCCGUCUUGAUAGCCUGGUGAUGAUUACGCGUGCCCCUGCAUUCUGCUCUGCGCGCCGUCUUGUGUUGGUUCAACGGUCGCACGCUCGUACGGCAUGGCGGCAGAUCCGGCGGGGUGGUUGCGGUGUUGUCAGUCGACGUCCAACUCGUCCCCAGGAAGGAACCCCGUUCGGUCGAGGGUCGGACGCCGUGUAACGUGGCGAUGUCCGGAGCGCUGACCUUGAAUGUCUCGAGGGGGUCCCGAUUAGACGUCCCAUCCUUGUUUCCCGCGUCCUGAUAUGCCCUGGGUCGUUCAGCGGGAAGGCUGCAAAAAGGUCGAUGGGACAGAUGCCUGUUCCCUAUCACGCCUCCCGUGACAUGUGUGUUAGGUGGGGAAGCGUCAGGCACAUUUAAUGCCCCGACUCGCGUGCGCGCGUCAGGCGGCGGGCGGCGUCCUUGCGCUCGACGCCUCCCGGUUCGCGUGAGCCUGUUCCGUAUUCGACGGUAACCAGCGCUCGACGCCUGACCGAUUCGCUCGACGCUAUUUCCGUCUUCGAGGUUGUGGUCGUCGAUGGCAGCGCACGCGUAAGACUAGAGCGUCGAAUUGAGGGCCUCGACCUGCGUACGGGCAAUCUCGUAAUGCGCAUCGGUGAGGGUACCCCUUACUGAUACCCUCGACAUUAUCAUAUUUAUUAUGUGGCUAGAUCAGAUUAGUUAUCCUUGUCACUAUUAUUAUUUCAUAUAUCUUUUAUGUGACACUUAUCCCUGUAUGAAGAGUUAGAUAUAAUGUUCUCAAUUAUACAUGCAAUGAUAGAUGCUCAAUCUCAUAUUCUAUUCUGUAAUCAAUAUUGAUGAUUGCUAAUCCCUUCCCAGUGGUAAAAAUAUAAAUAACGAUACCUGGAAUACUUCCCGGUUAAAAUGCUACAUCGGUAUUAAUCUGUGCGCUUGCAGAUCCCAUUCAUUAUUUAUUUAGAAGAGCAAUUGCAUAUUUCAAUACCGCGUCUCUCAUGUCAUGCUGGGGAUGACAACUUGGCUUAAGCGGUGUGAGGGAUAGGUUUGGCAUUUUUGGCACCGUUACUAGAUUUAGAGAACUUAGUCUACUUUUGGUAAUAAUGUUAAGAAUACCCAACAAGCAUUUUUGGCGCCGUUGCCGGAGAAUGUUGAUUACUAAUCAGGAAUGGAAUAAAGGAUUUUGAGUUAUCAUUCGCAUCACUAAUAUGAUUGAGCUUAUCUAUUCUCUCAUACAGUUUUACCCCGAUAUUUUCCUAUUUUAUCUUAUGCAGGGGAAUGUAUGAAUAGAAGACAUCUUCCAGGAAAUUUUGUUGACAAUCCUGAAGCAUUAUUCAAGAAGACGAGAGCCAAGCUAAAGAAGAGAUCAUCAACACUUCACGAAGAAGCUUCAUCCAAUCAAGAAGAUCACCGGAACUUGUCUUCAGAGUUCGAGGCCAUGGCGAACAAAUCAAUCCGUGAGUUCUCAGCUCCCACUACGGACAACAUCCGCACUGGACCUGCUGCAGAGAUCGACCGCAACUUUGAGCUCAAGCCUGGACUUAUCAACAUGGUGCAAUCCAACCAGUUCUGUGGGAAGGCACACGAAGAUGCUAGUGCUCAUUUACAACACUUCCUGGAGAUUUGCAAGACAUUCACCAUAUCAGGAGUUUCCAAAGAUGCUAUACUACUUCGCCUCUUCCCAUUCUCACUGUUAGGAAGAGCAAAGCAGUGGUUUUACGCUACAAAGGAGAAGAAAUACUACGUGGGCACUCUGCUCAACAAACUUCCUGGCAAAGUUCUUUCCCAUGGGCAAGACCAAUGCUCUCCGUGGGAAGAUUACAAGUUUUCAGCAACAAAAUGAUGAAUCUGUUCCAGAAGCAUGGGAGCGCUUUCAAGACUACAUCCUAGAAUGUCCCCAUCAUGGAAUGGAGAGUUGGCUAUUGAUGCAGACAUUCUAUCAUGGGCUCGGCAACAGUGCCCGAGAGACCAUGGAUGCUGCAGCUGGAGGAGCAUUCUUAUCACUUACUAUACCACAAGCCACAGCCCUUGUGGAAAAGAUGGCGUCCAACCAAAGCUCGAAUGAAGAGAGGACCCAUACACGCAAGAGAGGUGGAGGUAUGCAUCAGCUGAAGGAGGUAGACAUGCUGUCUGCAAAGCUAGACCUGCUCAUGAAGAAGCUCGACGAUAGAGCUGGAGAUAAGAAGGAAGUUAUGCACAUCUACGACUCUCACAUGACUUGUGAGGAGUGUGGAGACACUGGACACUCAGGCAACCACCGCCCUGAGAUACUUGAGGAUGUGAACUACAUCAACAACAAUAACAACAACUACUACAACCGUCCUCAACAAAAUCAAGGUUGGAAUCAACAGAGGCCUAACUACUCAGGUAAUUAUCAAGGUAACAAUUCUUACAAUAAUAAUUUUCCACCUUUGAGAGAGUUAGUGUCUAAUCAAUGAAAGGUAAUGGAUAACCUAUCUAAGAAAUUGGCAUCUAAUGAUAAAAUACUAGAAAAUAUAAAUAAUAGAAUGGAUAAUUUCUCUACUGCCAUCAAGAAUCAAAUUAGCUUUAAUAAAAUGAUUGAAUCCCAGUUAAAUCAAUAGCUGCUGCUGUUCCAACUACUAACCCCGGUAUACCAUCACAACCGGAAGGAUUAGAAUCUGCAAAUCUUGUAGACAUGUUUGAUGCAGGUAAUUGGAGUAACCCCGUCAAUGAAUUUUCUACUCACCUUCUGCCGGUCAAGAGAGGCGAUCCAGGACGCCCCGUCAUCCCGAUCUCCAUCGGCAUGAUGGACGUUCCAGAAGCACUCUGCGACUUUGGCUCUAGCGUCAACAUUAUACCCAGGGUACUCUAUGAAAAAUUCUUUACAUAUCCUUUAUUAGAGACAACCAUGUGUUUGCAGUUUGCAGAUCAGACGAUAACUUUUCCAAAAGGAAUAGUGAAGAACCUUUGUGUCCGAGUUGGUACCUUAUAUUCCCCAGCAGACUUCGUAGUAGUAGAGACCGGAAAUGAUGAGAGGGCACCUAUCAUCUUAGGGAGGCCAUUCUUGAAUACCACGGGAGCUAUCAUCUACGCCAGUGCUGCCAAGAUCAGUUUCUACGUCAAAGGGAAGAAGGAGACAUUUUUCUUCAAGAACAAGACUACACAAAUUCAAGAUCAAUCCAGACGUAAAUCAAGGAAGAGGACCAACAGGAGAAACAGGAACAAGCAAGUGUGGACCGAGUCAGCUAAGAUGGUCACUGUAGUUCAUGGAGGCCAAGAUCAUCAACUUAAGUCACCGUUUUUGAUCAAGAAGGAGGACCUAGGAAUGCCAAGCAUUUACUGCUCCAUAAAUGGAUACAACUUCUACAAGACAUUUUGUGACACCGGAUCGGGCGUCAACAUAAUGGCCGCAGUCACCUAUCGGCUCUUGUUCGGGACCAUGCCACUAACACCAACAUACAUUCAGCUCCAGAUGGCAGAUCAGACAUUUCGAGAAGUUAAUGGAAUAGUAACUGAUGUCCCAGUCAAAAUAUACGAUCACUUUGUCUACACAGACUUUCAGGUUAUUGACAUGGGAGAAGAUGAGUAUGAUCCACCCAUCAUCCUUGGAAGACCGUUCCUCAGCACCGUUAAAGCAAUUAUCUACAUUGGAACCGGAGAAGUCCAUAUGCACUUCCCCUCAGAGAAGGUACGCCGUUAUUUUACUGACCCUAACUAUAUCGUUGAAGAAUCUAAGCAGGUAAGAAAGUGACGCAACCGCAACCAGAGGAGGCAGAUCAUCAAGGACGGAUGGGCAGACUAUGAAGGAGAAGUGGUAAGGUCAGAAGACGUAGAGUUUAAACAGAAUUAUCCAGAGGAGACGGAAGCACCGAGCCAGGUGUGGAAAAUGAAGAUAACUGUACAAGAAGAGGAGGCGCUGCUGGAAGUACCGACUACGCCACCUAACGAACCUCAGGACGAUUAAGAAAAUGGAAAGUCCCGUUCGGAGGACUUAAAAACACCGAACGCCUUGCCAAGAGGUAAACUUGGUAGUUAUCCUUUUCCAUUUCAAAUUAUUCCAACUAGUUUACUUAGUUAAUCAUAUUCGUGCUAUUCUAAAAAGAAAAUAAAAAAAUAUGAAAAACAGUAAGCCCCAUGUGAGUAUACGAGUGGCAUAAAACCCAUAAGUACAUUCACUGUGGUGGCAUAAAAAUAAAAUAAAUAUUUUUCUGCUUUAUAAAAAUGAAAAUAUAAAAACAGGGAGUAAUAAUUAUUAAGGAGUCUCAACAUAAUAAAAGCUAGAUAUUUAUGCUAAUACUUAAUCAGUUCCACAAGCUUUGUUGUCUAUUUGAGCUCCACAGAAUUUAAGAAUCAAGAAGACUAACAGACGGAGGACAUUCUAAUCGCUGUCAGAAUGCUGCUGACUUUCAAAUACACCUCUGCCACCUGCUAGCUACAUCAAGAGAAAUUACGUCAAAAUUCAGCUUGGGAGAGAGCACCCCAAUUAUCCCGAUAAGUAUUUCUAUCUAUCUUUAUACUUAUAUUAUUUUAGAAUAUUAAAAUACAUA
rnacentral:lncRNA from 1 species